rnacentral:lncRNA from 1 species
GCAGCUAGAAUCCCUAAUAUUCCACCACCAACCCGAUCCUACCCCAAUCAUUAUGGUUGUUGCAUCACUUAUCAUUUCUUAGCUAUAUUUUCUAUGAUGACAUAGUAAUUUUAGAUACCAUUUCAUCAUCACAGGCCAAACCAAUUGUUUUUUUUUUUUUUUUUUGUGUGGGAAAUUAUAUGAAAUCUUACGGGUUAUUAACCUAUCAUAACAUUAGAAGUAAGGAUAAGUUCAUUUUUAGUUUUAUUUAUUUAAAAAAAAAUUAUUAAUCAGUUAGCGUCUUUAGAAUUAUUUAUGUGAAUUUAGGCCCGUUAUCAUAGAUAGGACCAAGUCGAAUAAUAUUAUGAGUGGAGGCUUGUAGUUGUAGCUAUGUAACGAUCUAAUACAAUAUGACGCUGAAGCUAAUCCCAUUGAAUAAAAAAGUAUCAUUUUCACUUUUUUCAUAUGCUUUACUUGUAAUAAAGAGUGUGUUGCACUCUUGCUAUUUGUAUCUAUUAUAUUGCUUAACACAUAAUAGUAAGUUGAUAACCUGAGAAGCUUGGUAAGAACGUUGCCAAUGCCAUCAAAUAUUUCUCACCAAAUGAAAUGAAAAUGAAAAUGAAACUGAAAAUGGGCUAAUAGUGGUGGAACCAAAUUAAGCUAAGUGAUGAUGAUAUGUGAUGACAGCUUCUCCUGCUUAUUUCUUAAAUUACCAGUCAUUUAAAUUCGAAUUGGCCGGUUUAAUUGGUUUGACUAAAUUGAUGUCCACCCCUACUCAAACUUCCUAAUCAUCCUCAAUAGACGGCUCAAUUGCGACCAGAGAAGCCUUUAUCACAUUUGAAGGAGCUCAAACUUGAACCCUAACAUGUUUCGGCAACAACAUGCAAUCUCCAAAUGACACCUUUUUAUUAAUUGAAUUUUUUUUGUCGAACUUUUUAUUAAUUGAAUAGUUAUAUCAAAUCAAUCAGUCUCGAUCUCUUGAACCACAGGAGUCCAAGAAAUUUGUGGUCACUCACCGUUGAAUGUAAAUUCAACGGUUUACUCAAUCUUGAACUCCUUUUAAGAAACUUUUUGAACCAUUAGAUUAAUAUCCAACGGUGGGUGACCACAAUCUCUUGGACUCCUGUGGUCCAAGAGAUCAGGACUGUCAAAUCAAUAUAAUGAUAUUCAGGAGUCCAAGAGAUCAGGACUGUCAAAUCAAUAUAAUGAUAUUGAGAUUGAAUAAUGGUUGUACAUAAUUUUUCUCAUUCCAAGAUGGUCUCUCACGUAAAAUUUCGAUUUUAAAAAAAAGCUAAAUAGUAAAUAGAUAAAUAAGUAAACAGAAUAUUUGAAAAAAGUAAAAGAAAGAAGGAGGCGGCGGCUUAAACUCCCAAAUUCUUAGGGUUUUUGACAACGGCAGAAACAGGGGCACACUUCAUCUUGGUCUCUCUAAAAACCGCAGAACGGAAAUAACAAAAGGAGCAAUGGGGGCUUAAACCCUGAAAGGAUAUUCAUCCGAGGUAACCUCUCAAUUGAAGCUCUUUCAAUCUUGAUCCUCUCUAACUUUCAACUAUUUAUGAAAAAAUGUGAUUGACCCUGCUCCCAUACAUUACAACAAUCUCUCUCUCUCUCUCUCUCUCUCUCUCUCUCUCUCUCUGUUCUAUGGCUUUUAGAAAUUUUUAGCUUUUUGUGCAUAGUCUUUACUGCUUUUCUCAUUCCUUUAACUCUCGCUGAAUCUUCUGCUUCUCUCUUUUGUCAUCUCCACUUUCCAUGUUAAUGAAUAGAAUCCACAGAAGGGUUUCGAGAAUGAUUUCCCAACUCAAUCACCUCGUACUCUUCUCGCCUGUCUUUGAAAGAACCACUUUUGUGCAGAACCCAUCUUCUGUUUCGCUUAAAUUCCAAUGCUUUUGCAGUUCUAGACUUACCCAUCACUCGAAGGUCUCUGUUAUCGAGUCUGCACAAUCGCCCAAUUCUCCUUUUGCUAACCGGGUUUCUCGAAAUGCUAGAACUGAGGCUCAGGCAACCCUUUUUGAUUACCUGCAUUGCACUCGAAGCUUCAGCUUCACGGAUGCAGAGCAUAUUAGCAAAAACUCCCCAAUUUUUCUUCAAAAUUUGCUCUCCAACAUUGAUUCUGAGAAAGAUGUUGCACGUUCUUUAACCCGAUUUCUUCGCUACAAUCCCAUUAAUGAGUUUGAACCGUUCUUUGAGAGCUUGGGUUUGAGUCCAUCUGAGCUCCUAUCGUUUCUGCCACGGCACUUGAUGUAUCUGAGUGAUGAUUGUGUGCUGACUGAUAACGUUCAUGCUUUAUGUAAUUACGGAAUCCCCCGUAGUAACAUCGGUAAGAUGUAUAAGGAGGCAAAGGAGAUAUUUGGAUAUGACUAUGGAGUGUUGGCUCUAAAACUUCAAGCUUAUGAAAAUUUGGGUAUAAGCAAAGCAACAGUUAUUAAGCUUGUUAGUUGUUGCCCGUUGCUUUUGGUUGGGGGUGUUAAUAGUGACUUUGUCAGGGUUCAUGAAAAAUUGAAGCGUUUAGGCCUUGGAAUGGAUUGGAUUGGAGGGUAUGCAUCAGGUAACAGCACAUACAACUGGGACAGAAUGUUUGAUACAAUGGAUUUUCUUGAUAAAGUGGGUUAUACGGAGGAGCAAAUGUGUGUUUUGUUUGAAUUAAAUCCUGCAUUACUAUUAGAAGGGUCUGGAAAGAAUGUGUAUGUAUUGUUUGGCCGGUUACUCAAAUUGGGUCUCGAGAUGAAUGAGGUUUAUUCACUUUUUAUGCAAAAUCCACAGGUCUUGUCAGUUAAGUGCAUGAAAAAUCUCUUGCUGGCAGUAGAUUUUCUGUUUGAGAUUGGAAUGGGAACAGAAGAGAUGGCAGACAUUGUAGCCAAUGACGUGGAAUUUCUGAGUUCAUCUAGUUUUAAAAGACCCAAAACUGUUUGUAAAGACUUAAAAGUCAAGAGAGAUGGCCUGCUCCAAAUGAUAAAGGAAGAUCCACACAAGGUGUUGACAUUGGCUUCAAAGUCCAAAGGUAAAAAUCAAUUAAUAUCCCCACUCCCCAGUAAACAUAUGGAGAAAACUUCAUUCUUGGUGAGAUUGGGAUAUAUCGAAAACUCAGAUGAGAUGAUGAAAGCUUUGAAAAAAUUCAGAGGUAGAGGAGACCAAUUACAAGAGAGGUUUGAUUGCCUCGUACAAGCUGGCUUGGACUGCAACGUGGUGUCAAACAUAGUUAAACAAGCCCCUCAUGUUCUUAAUCAGAGCAAAGAUGUGAUUGAAAUGAAGAUCAGUUGCUUAACAAACUGUUUACGUUAUCCACUGGAUUCUGUGGUGGCAUUCCCAGCAUACUUAUGUUACGAUAUGGACAGGAUUAAUCUUAGAUUCUCAAUGUAUGCGUGGCUAAGGGAGAAAGGUGCAGCAAAGCCUAUGUUGUCCUUGAGCACUCUCCUUGCAUGUUCAGAUGCACGAUUUGUAAAAUAUUAUGUGGAUGUUCAUCCAGAAGGUCCAGCCAUGUGGGAAAGUUUUAAAAUGCAAAAGAGCUAAGAAUUAGAUCCUUCUAAUCUCCUGUCUAUUAUUUUGGUUAAACUACCAUCUUGUAUAAGAAGGCUUUACUAAUUGAUUCAUACUCGGUUUGUUGAACAAAAAUAAAUAAAUUCAUUGAUGAGAAAUUCUGUUCAUGUUCUACUUUAUUUGAUGACAACGAUUUUGUUCACAUCAUGUUCAAUGCUCGAUUUAUUGAACAAAAAUAUAUAAAUUCGUUGAUGUGAAAUUAUGUUCAUGUUCUACUGUAUUUGGCGACAACCAUUUGGUUCGCAUCGUGCUCUUGUGGCUUAUCAUGCAUUGCUGAGUUGGUUUUAUAGGUAAUUGCAAUAGAAUGAGACUGUUUUGCUUGAUGUUUAGUGCUCUCAUAAAAGGCAAUUGUAAUCGAUCAAAGAAUUGUAGAUGAUAGGAUCCAUUUUACAAGUUUGGAAUUGAAUGGCAGGUAAAAUUAUGCACAAGUAGACCUUCGUGUACUUAUAACUGAACUUGGACCAGUUACAAACUUCUACUCUGUUUUUUCUGCUCUUUCUUACCUUUCUUUAGCUUUGAAUUCCAUGUUUACCAGAAACAGCCCCAAUAACAUGAUAUUUUCCAUCAACUCUGAGAAUCCAAGAACGCAUCGCUCAAAGUUUGUCAUCAACAGAACUAAGGACUCAAAAUGAUUAGGGGAACCAAUAUUUUGUUAAAAUCAGAAUCAAAGAUUGAUUUCCAUUGCAAGGUUCUCUACAGAGUUACAAAACUAGGACACUAGCUAGUUCGUGCAGUUAAAAUGGCAAUCCGCAUCUGCUAAGAUUGCUUACUAAGCUCUCAUCAGCAUCCUAGGAAAAAUGUGUUCAUAAUUGGGAGGCUUACAAUUAGAUACAAUUUACAAGCCUUCAUAAUUUCCCAACCUUCAGAUUUUCACCAACAUUUUUCAGAGAUGAUGAGGAGGAUGAUGAAGACAACCUAAAGAGGUUCUUAGCAGCCUUGUCCUUGCUAAAUGCCUUUUGUACUUCCUCCUUAAGCUCCAUGAAACGCGUCCUCUUUAUUUUCUGCUCAUCAGGGGUGCCCGUCUCAAGGAAAAACAAAUCAGGAAGGUCGUCCUUAAUGAACUUAUCCAGGACUUCCGAGCAAUGAGGAAAAUAGGAUCUACCCGUACUGACUGCCACAACAGAACAAGAAGGCUUAAAAGGAGAAAAUCAAUGAUCAUUUUACCAAGCAGAUUCUAAAUACUAUAUACUAGCUCAUGAUGUGUAACAUCCUUCCAGAGGUCGUGCUUCCUUUGAGAAGCCAAGAGUCACAAUAACAAUAAAAGAUCAUAUGUCUAUCUAAGAGACUAAAAGCAUGCUGCAUUUACCUGUUUUCAUGAGAGCUUCUAACCUAGAACGGAGUCUUUUGUUCUGCACGGUAGGAGUCUCAUUUAAAUCAACAUCCAUCAAAUUCCCAGUUGAGCCUUUGAAUGAAGAGAGCCCAGAAAAUUGAGAUGUUGUUUCGGCAUGAGCAAUGGCCAUGGCUACCUUGGCUUCAGUAGGGAAUAACAAUCGGGCAAAUGCCACUGCAAUAAAUAAUGCAAUUCAGAGAUCUAAUCAGUAAAAGUCAAAGAUAUCAUGUCAGAGACUCAAGGCACACAACCAAUCAAAAGAAGAAAUAUGAAAGGCAAAAGGUUGAAGUUCAUGUGUUAAUAUAAGAAGACUACAUAUCUACACCCAGCAAUUACCAAGUGUAAAGAGAUGCGUUUGCAAACAAGCUAUUCAUUUUGCAAGAACUCAUUGAUAUAUGACAUAGGAAGAGUAGUGGAUCAAAACAAAAAUGUCAAAGGACCAAAAGUAUUCACCACUGAUAUGAAGCUCAAAAAUUAACUUGUAUGAAUAUAUAUAUCUCCUUUCGAUAGAUAACACUUUGGUCCAGGAAAAUUUGUUCUUCAUUUUCUUCAUAUAUCAAAGCAAUCACUAAAACGUAUAACCAGCAAAAAGAGAGUAAUUACAACCAUAUAGAAAAGUAUUUCAUUGAUUUAAGCUCAUAAUCCAAUAAUUCAGUUUCCUUCUCGGGGAAAAAGAACCCUAAAGAUUUUAUGAAUUGAGAAUGUCUUAGAAAUGAUCUUAGAAAUGUUACCUCUGUUCUCCAGGUUCAGCAAUUGCAUGUGCAGGUCAUCAGGCAUUAUUUGGGAAGAUAUAGACGCAUCCGCAGCCAUCGGAUUCCUCUGCAUUUCUCUUUCUAGAACAUCAAUGCAUAUCCGGUCUUUGUUUGCUUCUUCUCCCCUCUCUGUUUUCGAAUGAUAAUCCUUUGCCCUCGUCAACCUCCGGCAAAUGCUAACAGCACUCUCACCAUCUAAUGUCAGCUCUGACACACGAGCUCCUUUAGUCAGAAGCAAUACUAUAAUUGAUGGCUCUUUGCGCAUCACAGCAAUGUGAAGUACUGUAUAACCCCGAGAAUUCCGGAGGUUAACAUCAACCAGACCCAGACCAAUCACUUCAGUCACAACCUUAGGAUCGCAGUAAGCUGCAGCAUAAUGGAGAGCAUUGGCUUCAUCUAAGGUUAUAUCAGACUCACUUAAAAGAAGUUUCACAAGUUCAACAUCAUCUGAGUCCAACGCCUUAUGUAUUCUCCUGAUUCUCUUUUCACGCAAGGGGUCCACUGCUGCAAUGUUGGGGUCACAGUCUUGCUGAGAAUUGUGGCGAAUAAUUUUAAUUUUCUCCACAAUCUCAUCAGGAAGUUCCUUCUCAAGAGAGAUGCUAUCAAGAUCUGAUCGUGCCACUCUCUCUAUGCACUGAUCAAUGAGCUGACUCAACUUACAAUGGAAACCAACCAGGAGGAUUGGGAUGACAUCAUCUGCCAGGGCUUUCCCAACAAAAUUAAUAAGCCGUCGCUGCCGAUACAUAGAUAACAAAAUCAGAACAAUCUUUCUUAACAUUCCAAAAACAAGUUGGAUGGAUCAUACUGACCGCAAAAGAAAACAGAAAUUUGACUAAUUUCUUAAUAUGGUAUCAAUUUUGACCAGAAAUUUAGAGUAACAGAAGACCAACCUGGAGAAUUGAAACCAAAUCCGGCAUUUGGAAAACGGAAGAUGCAUACAUCAAUUCCACAGCAAAAUUAAUUGCAGGCCCGCAUGCGUCAUGGGCACAUACACUGUGAACGCAAGUUGAAACCUCCAUGGGAAAAGGCUUCAGCUUUCCAGUAUACACAUAGCUUAGGAAAACCAAGAAAGCUUCAUACAAAACAUUUCCAUAAGGCAGCAAAUCACUCAUACAAUACGUUGGUUUACCUUCUUUCUCGGAAGACCCAUUUGCUCGCUUGAAUAGCUCGCCGAAAAAGCUACUUCUGGAAGCCAAUAUGCAUCUGUAAACGCCCACAGAUUUUCCCUCAACGAUGAUAACGGCAUCACUGUAAUCAGAGCUAGAGUCAACCAAGAGCAGCUGCUCCAAAUUGGAACUGAGCUUGGUCAAACUGAUGACUUCAAGGCUAGGCACAGGUUCGCAACCAGAGGAGGAAGAUGGGUUGUUGUGGGUUUUUGAAGCGUUUGGUAUAUGGGAAGAUGAGGUGAAGGUCAAAGAGGAUGAAGGUUCAGCUGAAUAAUUAGCCAUUAAGCUAAGCUAGAAUCUAGAUGGAUCAACUUCAAGCAUGAAGCACAUAAUAAUCCAGUGCUUCACCAACAGUCAACGUUGUUUUUUAGUGAUAUUUCAACUUGACUCACGUGAUUCCACUAUUUUUUUAUUCAAAAAUAAAUAUGCUCUUUUGUUUUUUCGUUGGAAAAAAAAAUAAGCAUGCUCAUGGCAAACAAAAGUGAUAACUAUAAUAAAUUAAAGUUCUAUGCUUGUAUUAAAAAUAAAUAAAAUCUCAAUUCCUUCUAAGGUAACACAAAAGUUGUAUUAUAAAGUCUAAAUUAAAAUUUUCAUCCAAUCAAACUAUCGCUUAUAUUAGAAAAGAAAAAAAAAUCAUCCAAUCAGAGCAACCAAAGACCCUUGUAUGCAUGUCGACAUUAACUUGUAGCUCAAGUGAUUGAAGACAACAUGACUUCUUUUCCCAUUUAUACUUGGAAAAAGAGUUGUGAAACCUCAAAGCAUAAACCUUCAGUUCCAGAAUAUGGUAAGUAGUUCGAACUGUUGCUUAGGAGAAUCUCAUGUGCCAAGAUAUUUAAACUGAUGCGUGAAGACUAAGUUUUCCUUUCCCUCAGCAGAAAUCUUGGUGUUCCAGAUGUGCGAUUUCGUAGAUUAAAUGUACUAUUGGCUUUAAGGAAGUGAUUGUACAUAGUUUAAUUUUUUGUGAAAUGCAGCUUUUGUUAGCCAAGUACUGAGAAGUUUUUCUGAAAUCAUGAACACAGCUAAUUAACAACUACGUUAAAAAAGAAUUUGUGAUGCUUCAGAUGGCAUUAAGAUUGAAGCAGAAAUGUAAGUUGUAUCAUCGUUUCAUUAUUCUGUUCUUACUAUUUCUUACAUAGGCAAUUCUCUCAGAUCUGUCUUCAUAUGAAAAACCCAGAAAAUCAUCUCUCUGCUCAUAAGCAAAGCUGAGUAUUCUGCAACUUAAUUUUUAGGCCGAAUGAUAACACCCUUGAUAACAAGUCCUCUAUUCCAUUUCCCACUAUCAUAUUCAUACAUCGAAAACUCCAUGUCACCAGGUAUUUCCGGUGAUGCUCUAAACUCACCAACCGAAAUCUCUAUCCAUUCCUCUCUUGGGAUUUCCUUCAACUUAACUUCAUGCCAUUGUUUGCUACCAUCUGGAAGAGUGAGACUGACAUUCACUGGAACAUCCCAUCCAUCAGCUGAAGCUUUCAGCUUGACCACAAACGCAACUUCAUACAGAGUUCCUGGUGACAGCUUUGUAGUCUCAAAUUGUCCAUGCACUUCUAGCCAACAUUCAUUAAUCAUUUCAGCAGCAUCAAUGACGACACCACUGCAAUGAAACCUGAGUUAGGAUUGAGAGUACUGAUAGCAUUUUAUGAUAAUUAUUAAAUUAUUAUUAUUUUUUGUAUAUAUUGCGUUUAUCUGUUUCAACUUCAAUAGGACUGGAGAAAAUGAGAAAACCAAUAAGUUAUGCAUUGAAGGUUUUGGUACCUGGUUUCUUGCAGGGAGGGCCAGAGCCAGUUACGAUCGUCUUCAGCCCAAGAGAUCGAGAGAUCCCUUGCAUACACCAUAAAGCAGUUGUUGGACUUCUUGUCAACCCAAUACUUCUGCAAUAACAGAAUAAUGACAUAACCAAAGAUGGCUGGUUUCUAUCUAAGUUCACUUACAAGUUGCCCUUCUUUAAAUCAAAAUAAAAGCCCCAUAUAUUUUGAUUUGGAGCUGAAUUUCGGCACGAACUGGAAUAUCACAUUUCACACAACUAAAUCAUCUGAGCAUAGUGUUUGAAUUUCUGAUGCUGGGGUUACCUUUCUCUUUUGGUUUAAGGUUAUUCCAGCACGGAGCUGUUCAUGGAGGUUUUCCACUGAGGAUUUGUUGAUGGGUGAGUCAGCAUCUCUCAAAAUAGCUUCAUAGUUGGGUGGAAGCAGCGGUGGGGGAGGAGGCGGAGGUGGUGGGGCAGGAGGCGGAGGCGGUGGAGGAGGCGGCGGUGGUGGGGGAGGAGGCCGCGGUGGUGGGGAAGGAGGCCGCGGUGGUGGGGAAGGAGGCCGCGGUGGGGUCUCUGGGCCCAUACCCACCCCCCAUCUCUUCAAUUCACUUCUUCCAUCCAAUGCUUAGUUUUUACUUAUAUAGAUAGAAAAACAAGGCUUGGUUGGUCAUUUACAUUGGCAUGCAUAUAAACCUAUGAUUUUCAUAUCAUUGUGUACCUCACUAGGGCUCGUUUGGUACACCGUAUUAGACUCUGGAUAUGAGUAAAUAGUCUAUGUCAGGUGUUUGGUGUCAACUUGUAUUAUUUAAUUAUUCGACUAUUUUAUACGGGUUGGGCUUUUAAUACUUGCUUUACCUGACUAACUAAUACAACUCACACACCCCGGUUUAGAUAAUACACGCUUAAUUAUACGGUUAGGGAAAAAGAACACACGUUUUACGGAAAAAAUCAGACGCUCUUUUCAUCUUCUUCUCCCUAGGGUUGUUUUAUACAAUUUUCUCCACAGGUUAUUUUCUUCACUCUUCUCCAGGUAUCCAUCUCUCACUCUCUCUCUCUUUUUCAUACUCUCUCCAAUAUGUUUUAUAUAUUUCAAAUUUUUAGUGGAAAUUAGGUUAUGAAUUUUUUUUAUUGGCAUUUUUUUUAAUCGAAUGUUUUCUUUGUAUGUAAUAUAGUGAUUCGACGUUGUGGGAAUAUUUAGAUUGUUGGUAUUAAACAGAGUAUUGCCAGUUUUCGUCCAAAAACAAACAACUGUGCUAGUGUUGGUAGUUUAGUUGAAUACAUACAUACUUGACGACUAGGAGAGCAAAAUUACAAAAUUAAAAUUGUAUGAACCUGAAUUCUAGGAACUAUUUUUUUUUUCUUUGUCAAUUGCUAUUAGAAAAGCAAAAGAUGGACUUGUCUAUUAAAUGACCAAAUUAAGGCAUUACAGCUAAUUUUGGAGAAAGCAAGUGAUGAAAAAACAUUCCUGACAUUGGAUGGUGCUAUGAGAAAAGCAUUUGUUCUUCUCUUACUUGGGGCGAGGGAGUUGUGAUUCACUCUUUGAUGUAGUUUGGUUUAUGAACAACUUUCUCUUUUGCUCUUAUCACCUUCAAUAUGUGAUCACUUUGAAUUAUACAUUAUUUGGUACUGUUUUUAUUAACAUAUGCGAGUAUGUUGGAAUUUUUAUGAGAUACUACAAUUAUGAUAAUGGGUUAUAUGAAAAAAAAUCUUGGCAAAAACAAUUGAAAAACAAAUCUUGUCAUAUGAAUCGUACCAAAAAAAAAUUUGUGUCAUUUGAAUCUCUAUUUCCAUUAAAAUUAUCAAAGAUUUUUUUUAAUUUUUUAAUUUAUAAAUAGUAUGAUCUGAUUUUAUCUGAAACAUCAUCAAACACAGUAUAACUUAGUCAGAUUAUUUAUCCGGAACAGCACUAAACGCCUUAUAAUAUUAUGGAUAAAUAGUCAGUACUCUCCGGAACAGAUUAAUACUAUCCGACGGAAAUUAGUCAGUACAGUCCGACGUACCAAACGAGCCCUAAAGGUUUGGAUGGGGAUGAAAGUUUUAGCUUGUUACCUAAGAAAUAUGUCGUGUGAACUUUUUUUUUUUUUUCCUUAAUUAGUUGUCAUUUUCUCAUGCAUGCUGAUGUCAAGCAGGAAUUAGCAAGCAGUGGGUUGGAAAAUACUUUGGAAUAUCAAAAAAUGCCUUUAUUCCAUAUCAAAAAAGGAGGUCUUUUAAAUAAAAUUAUUUAAGGAAUCUCUCAAUAAAAGGCAAUAUAUAUAUAUAUAUAUAUAUUCCAUUCUGCAGGGAAAGGAAAAAAAAAAAAAGGACUUUUAUUCUAAGAUAUAAAUAUUCGUUUUUGUAAAGUAAUAUUUGUAAGUGGUCAUGAUAAUCUUGAUUUACUUGGGACAAUCGAUCAAAAGCUCCCUUUACUGGUUUGAACAUGUACAUUAUAUUUGAAGGCCUUUUCCUUCAUAUCCACUGGAAUUGAUAUUGAAGAAUAUUAUAUUGCUUGACACAGUAAACUUAAGAAGGAAGUUAAAUAAAUGAGAUUAUCCAUUUGUUGGCAGCUUGGUCAAUUGAGCCAUGUUGCUCAUCAUGGGCAGCAUCAGUUUUUUUUUUAUAAAUAAAACUGGUUUUUGGAAUGUUUGUACGUGUGUUGUGAAAUCUUGGGAAAAUUUGAGAAGGUUUCAACUUUCAGGUGCUGAGGGAGUCAGAUAUAUCAACUUGUUGUUAGAAUGUGGUUGUGGGAAUGAUAUUGGUGAUGAAAACCUGAGAAGCUUGGUAAGAACGUUGCCAAUGCCAUCAAAUAUUUCUCACCAAAUGAAAUGAAACUGAAAAUGGGCUAAUAGUGGUUGAACCAAAUUAAGCUAAGUGAUGAUGAUAUGUGAUGACAGCUGCUCCUGCUUAUGUCUUAAAUUACCAGCCAUUAAAAUUCGAAUUGGCCUGGUUCUAAUUGAAGCAGAAAUGGAAGUUGUAUCAUUGUUUCAUUAUUCUGUUCUUAUUAUUUCUUACAUAGGCAAUUCUCUCAGAUCUGUCUUCAUAUGAAAAACCCAGAAAAUCAUCUCUCUGCUCAUAAGCAAAGCUGAGUAUUCUGCAACUUAAUUUUUAGGCCGAAUGAUAACACCCUUGAUAACAAGUCCUCUAUUCCAUUUCCCACUAUCAUAUUCAUACAUCGAAAACUCCAUGUCCCCAGGUAUUUCCGGUGAUGCUCUAAACUCGCCAACCGAAAUAUCUAUCCAUUGCUCUCUUGGGAUUUCCUUCAACUUAACUUCAUGCCAUUGUUUGCUAUCAUCUGGAAGAGUGAGACUGACAUUCACUGGAACAUCCCAUCCUUCAGCUGAAGCCUUCAGCUUGACCACAAACGCAACUUCAUACAGAGUUCCUGGUGACAGCUUUGUAGUCUCAAAUUGUCCAUGCACUUCUAGCCAACAUUCAUUAAUCAUUUCAGCAGCAUCAAUGAAGACACCACUGCAAUGAAACCUGAGUUAGGAUUGAGAGUACUGAUAGCAUUUUAUGAUUAUUAUUUAAUUAUUAUUAUUUUUUGUGUAUAUUGCGUUUAGCUGUUUCAACUUCAAUAGGACUGGAGAAACUGAGAAACCAAUAAGUUAUGUAUUGAAGUUUUUGGUACCUGGUUUCUUGCAGGGAGGGCCAGAGCCAGUUACGAUCGUCUUCAGCCCAAGAGAUCGAGAGAUCCCUAGCAUACACCAUAAAGCAGUUGUUGGACUUCUUGUCAACCCAAUACUUCUGCAAUAACAGAAUAAUGACAUAACCAAAGAUGGUUGGUUUCUAAGUUCACUUACAACUACAAGUUUCCCUUCUUUAAAUCAAAUUAAAAGCCCCAUAUAUUUUGAUUUGGAGCUGAAUUUCGGCACGAACUGGAACAUCACAUUUCACAAGACAAAACUAAAUCAUCUGAGCAUAGUGUUUGAAUUUCAGAUGCUGGGCUUACCUUUCUCUUUUGGUUUAAGAUUAUUCCAGCACGGAGCUGUUCAAGAAGGUUUUCCACUGAGGAUUUGUUGAUGGGUGAGUCAGCAUCUCUCAAAAUAGCUUCAUGGUUGUGUGGAAGCGGCGGUGGGGGAGGGGGGCGGCGGGUGGGGGGAGGGUGAGGAGGUGGGGGGAGGAGGCGGCGGCGGUGGGGGAGGAGGCGGCGGAGGUGGAGGGGGAGGAGGCGGUGGUGGGGAAGGAGUCCUCCGUCGUUUUGAGGACCGACCGCCCAUCUCUUCAAUACACUUCUUCCAUCCAAUGCUUUGUUUUUACUUAUACCGAUAGAAAAACAAGGCUUGGUUGGUCAUUUACAGGGCAUGCAUAUAAACCUAUGAUUUUCAUAUCAUUGUGUAACCCGCUAAGGCUCAAUUUAGUUCACGGAACAAAUUUGAGGGGAAAUCAUUUCUCAUGUCAUUUUCCAAAAGAUAGGAAAUGGAAACUUUUUUUCCCACGUUUAGUAAUAUGAGGAAAGUAACUGGGAGAUAUCACUUUAUUUCUAUUCCCAUGUUUGUUUUGAGUAGGAAUGGAAAAUAAAGUUUAUAUAAAUUUUCAAUUAUACCCAUAUUAAAUCAAAUAAAAAAAGAAUGCAUUUAAUGAUUUAUUGUAAUUCUAAAUUGUUAAUGGGGACAAAAUGGUCAUGAAAAUGUUUAUUUAAUAUUGGCUCAUUUUCCUAAACUUUCCCAUAAGGAGGAAAAACAAAACUCAAGUUUGGAGGAUGGCUUCACAUUUCCCCCCUUACUUUUACAUGGGCCAGACAACGAUUUUUCAUGCUUGGACGUACCAAACAUGGGAAAGUAAUUGAUUUCUCAUCUCCAAAUCUCCUUCCCAUGAACUUCCCAUUCCCAAAUCUCCUUUCCAUGAACCAAACAGGGCCUAAAGGUUUGGAUAAGAACGAAGGUGCUUGCUACCCAAGAAAGAUGUCCUGUGAACUUUUAUUUAUUUUUUCUUUAGUUGUCAGUUUCUCAUGCAUGCUCAUGUCAAGCAUGAAUUAGCAACCACUGGGUUGGAAAAUACUUUGGAAUAUUAGUAACUGCCUUUAUUCCAUAGGGUAAACUUUUGUUUGUUUAUCAUAUAUAUAUAUAUAUAUAUAUAUAUAUUCCAUUCUGCGGAAAAAAAAAGAAAAAAAAAAGAAAGGGCUUUUAUUCUAAGAUAUAAAUAUUCCUUUUUACAAAGUAAUAUUUGUAAGUGGUCACAUGAUCAUCUUGAUUUACUUGGGACAAUCGAGCAAAAGCUCCCUUUACUGAUUUGAACUUGUACACUAUAUUUGAAGGCCUUUUCCUUCAUAUCCACUGGAAUUGAUAUUGAAGAAUAUUGAGCAACCUUCAUGCAGGCUUUACGAGUCUGAGAAAGAAAAAUCUUAAAAUGUUGCCGAUGAAUAGGUAGGAAUUAUUUGAAUAGAAAGCACUUUGGUAUAUAUGUAUAAAUGCCUAAAUUCAAGAUUCAUUACAUAGGGAGACAAGUUUCUGCUGCUGACUAAAAUCCCUGCAGUUGAAAAGGUUGUCACUAAAUUCCUCUGUUCUUGUAGCGUCUCAAAUACCAGAGUGGAACAUUCCAAAGAGAGAGGCUUAAUCAACCCAACUCAUGAACCAAGUUUUAGAUGUUCAAAAUUAGUUUGUUUAAUUAGUCUUACUCAAACUAACUAAAUAAAUUAGUUGCAAUAUAUUAUCUGUGAGACUUUGAACUUCGAUUGACUUGAGUUAAUUGUUCUCAAAUAUUUGUAUAGGAAAAGUAUAUCAGAAACAAAAAUGGAAGAUAUCUUCAUGCAGACCGGUUUGCAUUUACCUACACGGACCGUUGGAAUCGCAUUCAUGCAUGAGGAAUGUCUUAAUAACCUGUACUAAAUAAGUGUCUCUUCACAUUUGGGAGUUAUCUUGGUUCAAGAAUAAAGUUAUGGAGAGUCUUUUCAUCUCUGUGAGUUAUGAAGAGAAAUAAUAUGAAGUGGGUAUCAUAUAUGCAACAAAUUAUUUUUGUUCUCAAGCACAAGUCAGGUGCCUUGAACCGAGUAGCAGAUGCUCUGAACAGGAGAACAAACUUUCUCAUCACCAUGAAGAACCAUGUUUUGGGUUUUGAUUCUAUACGUGAUUUGUUAUCUACUGACCCAUACUUUGCCCCUAUUUUGUGUGAUGUGGAAGCAGGCCUACGCUUUGAUUUUAUCAUAUCAGAUUCAUACAUGAUGGUUUUCUAUUUAAAGGGAAUCAGUUCUGCAUUCCAGAUUCUAGUUUGCGUUUGGAUAUUAUUAGUGAAUUGCACAAUGAAGGGCAUAUGGGGCGAGACAAGACAUUGCAGUCGGUGAUGGCAUCUUAUUUUUGGCCAAUUUUACAGCGUGAGGUUACCAGAUUUGUCGAAGGUUGCAGGGUGGUGCACGAACUAAUGCAGGAUUGUAUAUGCCAUUGCCAGAUCAAUCAUGGGUACAUGUCAGUAUGGACUUCGUCUUGGGGCUUCCUCAACUUCUAGCAUUUAGCACAUAAUCUAGUGCUUCACCAACAGUAAACGUAGUGUUUUUUUUAGUGAUAUUUCAACUUGACUCACGUUUUUCCAUUUUUUUAAUUAAAAAAUAAGUAUGCUCAUAGAUUUGAGCUGAAGUAAUGAGAGAAGGCAAACAAAAAUGAUAACUUCUCAACUUGUAUCUAAGUGAUUUGAGAACGUUCAUUUCUCAUUCAUUAUGGCUUGUAUUAGAAAUAAAUAAAAAAUUUGAUUUCGUCUAAUGUAACACAAAAGUUAUAAUAUAUAGUGAAGUCUAAAUUAAAAAAUUCAUCCAAUCAGACCACCGUUUGUAUUUAAAAAAAAAAUUUCAGGUGAAGUGUUGGAAUGAACACGGGUUGACGCCUCCAUUCUCAUUAACACUGUAUUGAGCAUUUCUCUGUAAAUUCAUUCAUGUGAACUUUUGUUCGUGUUCUGCUUUUGUUUGGUGAUGAUCUUUCAUUUUCCAAUAGUGAGUUGGUUUUCAUGUACAAGGAAACUUUUACAUACCUUCUCAAUACGUGUCAGUUACCCAAAUCGACUAAUUUCAUCGAUCAAAUAUCCCAACUAUCCAGAACCACAUCUUCUACAGAAUUACAAAACUAGGAUACUUCGUGUAGUUAACAGGGCAAUUCGCAUCUGCCAAGAUUUUACUGAUAAGAAAAGCCAAAACUUACUAAGCUUUUGUCAGUAACCUUGAAACAAACAAAAAAAAUUUGUUCGUAUUCAGAAGGCUAAUAGAUACAAUUUACAUGCCCUCACAAUUUCCUAACUUUUUGAGUUGCACCAAGUUUUUUCGGAGACGACGUGGAGGAUGAUGAAGACAACCCAGAGAGGUUCAACUCAGCCUUGUCCUUGUUAAAGGCCUUGUGUACUUCCUCCUUAAGCUCCAUGAAACGCAUCCUCUUUAUUUUCUGCUCGUCAGAGGUGCCCAUCUCAAGGUAGAACAAAUCAGGAAGGUCGUCCUCAAUGAAUUUAUCCAGGACUUCCGAGCAAUGAGGGAAAUAGCAUCUACCCAAAUCGACUGCCACAAUAUGACAAGAAGGCUCAGAAUAGCAUAACUAUGAUAGUAUGAACUUUUUAUUCUUUCGACCAAGACGUGGCUAAUUUUUAAGUCUUGCUAACUUGGAUAUGAAUUCUAAUAACCAUAAGUUCACUGAGAAAAAAAAAGAAUAAUCAACCAACACUCUGCAAUUCAACCAGAAUAUAGAUAAAAGCAUGCAUUUACCUGUUUUCAUUAGGGCUUCCAACCUAGAAUGGAGUCUUUUGUUCUGCACAGUGGGAGUCUCAUUUAAAUCAACCUCCAUCAAAUUCCCACUUGAGCCUUUUGAUGAAGAGCGCCCAGCAAACUCAGAGGUUGUCUCAGCAUGGGCAAUGACCAUAGCUAGCUUGGCCUCAGCCGGGAAUAACAAUCGCGCAAAUGCCACUGCAAUAAAUAAUUCAAUUUAGGUCUUAUCUAACAAGUGAAAGAUAUCAUGUCAUAGACUCAGAGGCACACUAAACCAAUCAAAAGAAGAAAUACGAAAGGAAAAAGGUUGAAAUUCAGAAGGCUACAUGUCCACACCCAAAGUCUAAAGAGAUGACUUUGCAAACUAGAACGGAAAGAAUAUAAUAGCCUGGAUAAAGCUAUAUGUUUUAUGUCAACCGUGCAUUGAUAUAUGCCAUAGGAAGGGUAACGGACCGAAGCAAAAAUAUCAGUAUGUGCCCUUGACAUGAGGCUCAAUAAUCAACUUGUACUAUGAAGAUAACAAGAGGAUAUAUACCUCCUUUUGGUAGGUAGCACUCCGGUGCAGGAAAAAUAUAACUUGCAACAAGAGAGUAAUUAAUAAAAGAUAAAAGAAACAAUUCAUUGGUUUAAGAUCUCAAAGCAAAUAUUAUGUUUCCUUCCUGGGAGUAAAAAACAGAAGAGUUUCUGGAGAAAAAACCUAGUGACUAUCAACUGCCACCACUAUGCCUUUACUAAUCAAUUGGGAAGGUCUUAGAAAUGUUACCUCUAUUCUCCAGGUUCAGCAAUUUCAUGUGCAGAUCAUCAGGCAUUAUUUGGGAAGAUAUUGAUGUAACUCCAGCCAUCGGAUUCCUACGCAUUUCCCUCUCUAGAACAUCAAUGCAUAUUCGGUCCUUGUUUGCUUCUUGCCCCUGCUCUGUUUUUGAAUGAUAAUCCUUCGGCCUUGUCAACCUCCGGCAAAUACUAACAGCACUCUGACCAUCUGAUGUCAGCUCUGAUGCACAAGCUCCUUUAGUCAGAAGCAAUACUAUAAUUGAUGGCUCUUUGCGCAUCACAGCAAUGUGAAGUACUGUGUAACCCCGAGAAUUCCGGAGGUUAACAUCAGCUAGACCCAGACCAAGCACUUCAGUCACAACCUUAGGAUCGCAGUAAGCCGCAGCAUAAUGGAGAGCAUUGGCUUCAUCUAAGGUUAUAGCAGACUCACUUAAAAGAAGUUUCACAAGUUCAACAUCAUCUGAGUCCAAUGCCUUAUGUAUUCUCCUGAUUCUCUUUUCAUGCAAAGGGUCCACUGCUGGCAUGUUUGGGUCACAGUCUUGCUGAGAAUUGCGGCGAAGAAUUUUAAUUUUCUCAAUAACCUCAUCAGGAAGUUCCUUCUCAAGAGAGAUGCUAUCAAUAUCCGAUCGUGCCACUCUCUCUAUACACUGAGUGAUGAGCUGACUCAACUGACAAUGUAAAGCAACUACAAGGAUUGGGAUAACAUCGUCUGCCAGAGCUUUCCCAACAAAAUUAAGAAGGCGUCGCUGCCAAUACAUAGAGAACCAAAUCAGAACAAUUCCAUUUUUCUUAUCAAAAAAAUGAGCAAUCUAUCUUAACAUUCUAUAAACAAGUUGGGUAGAAAUUGACCGCAAGAAAAAAUAGGACUAAAUUUACAAAACCAUGUUUCAUAAAAAGCCACCAAAACAACAUUAUACCCCUACCACUACAUUAAUGUAAGCUUGAAGGGAAAAAUUGGUUUAUUAAGUGAUAUGUAGAUGUUGAAGGAUUAAUGGAACCAGGUACAUGAGAUGAUAACAAUUUGUGGGGUGGCAUCAAUUACUUUAGUUUAACUAGCAUGCCCCAGAAAAUUGAGGUAAAAAAGAACAUUAAUUCUUUUCAAAACUGCUCUACACUUUUGUAGCCAAGAACUCAAAAAAUAAAGUCAAACAGUUUAAACCAUUAGAAAUUUGCGGGGUGACUUCAAUCACCUCAUCCACUACAAUGGUUCAACCAUUAGUAACAACAGAAAUCAAUAAAAAGAAAGGGACCUUCACUCAUGCUCAGCUCCACAGAAAUCAUGAACUCUAGAGUUGACUGAUGGCUUAAUGUGAUAAAAAUCUUGAUCAGAAAUUCAAAAUAACAGAACACCAACCUGGAAUAUCGAAACCAGAUCAGGCAUUUGGAAAAUGGAAGAAGCGUACAUCAACUCCACGACGAAAUUAAUAGCAGGUCUACACGCGUCAUGGGCACAUACAUUGUGAACACAGGUUGACACCUCCAUGGGAGAAGGCUUCAACUUUCCAGUAUACACAUAGCUCAAAAAAACCAAGAAGGCUUCAUAUCUAACAUCGCCAUAAGGCAGCAAAUCACUGAUACAGUACUUUGAUCUGCUUUCCUUCCCAGAAGACCCCUUUUUUUGCUUGAAUAGAUCGCGGAAAAAACUACUCCUAGAAGCCAAUAUACAUCGGUGAACGCCAACAGAAAUCCCCUCAACUAUGAUAUCAGCAUCACUAUAAUCACAGCCAGAAUCAACCAAGAGCUGCUCCAAAUUAGAACUAAGCUUGCUCAAACUGAUGACUUCAAGACUAGGCACAGAUUCAGAACCAGAGGAAGAAAAGUUGUGGCUUAUUGAACCAUUUGAUAUAUGGGAUGAUGAAGUAAAGCUCAAAGAGGAUGAUGGUUCAGAUGAAUUAGCCAUUAAUCUACUUCAGACCUAAAGGUGGAGCCUAGGAUGUAUCAGCGUCAAGCUUAAUCACAUAACCCAUUGAUUGAAGAUAUUAACAUCUAAACUAGCUAUAGCCCUUGAAGAAUAAGACCCCAAACGCUUUCUAAUUCUAAGAACACAAGCUCUUGUGAUCCUGAUGAUUGAUAUGGUAAAGACGUAUAAGAGAAAGUGUUCUGAAGAAAGGAAAAAGUAAGAGAAACAGAGUACCAAAAAUAAACUAAACAAAAGGGGAAGAUCCAAUAUGAUGACAAAUAAUAAAUUUACAAUUUUUAACACUCAAGAAAUAUAAAACUAUCACAAAUUGGGACUUUUACUCUUCAAUUUUGAAAGGUUGGAAUCAUUGAAAUGACAUAAACAUAAUACACGAAUUUGAGCUGAAUAGCAAGACCUACUAUCUCAAACUGAGAUAAGUUUGAUAUGACAAAUACCUAAACACUGACUGACCACAAUACCACUAAAAAAAAGUUGGUUCAAAAUUGCUAUGCUCAAGCUUCCAAAGUGGAAUUACAGACAAAAUCUACAGAACUAGAUUAAGGAAGGUAGAGAUCUACUAAUAACAGUAGAAACCAAAUUGGGCAUCCACUAUAUUCUAUGUUGUAUUUUUAAUACUGUCUAACAGAACAUACCACAGAUUCAACAAAAGAGAUGUAUGAAAAUUAAUCAAAUCUCACCUGAUUUCAAAACCCAGACGAAGAUAACAAGUUAAAACCAAAGAAGGACGUAUCUUAGGACAAUUGUGACAAAAACCCAAAAUUUCCCACAAGAAAAAGAAGCAAACUUUCAACCAUAUCAACCACUCAGAAAUACCACAUCCCAAGAUUGACGACAAAGAGGAAAGAGGACAACAACAGAGAGAUGGGAUGCAAAAGGGUACGAGUCAUAUCCAAGUCCGAAUGAGGCUCCGAAAUUUCAUUUUUCGUUUUCAAAGCAACAGAGUCAGACAACAGAGAGAGAGAGGUUUGAGAGAGAGAGAGAGAGAGUUUGAGAGUAAGAAGAAGGAGAGAAAUUUCAUUAGAGGAGAUGAAGUCGCUUUGGUGACGAUUGAGAUGGCAUCAGCGAUCCCAGCUGGGCUAGGGUGACGCAGACAAUGUCGUCAGCCAGUUGUUGUAACUUGUAAAUUAGUUAAGUUGUUUUCUUUUUCUCUGCAAUUUGCACUGUGGGAAAAUGGGAAAGCCAUCAUCCAUGUACAGUAGUUUAUUGCUUCUUUUAUAAAUUGGGUGAGAGAGAGAGGGACAAAAGGCCAAAGACAGAUUUGGUUGUCGGCGCCAGACCAAUGAAUCAAAAGCAAAGAUGUCACAUUUCUAUUUAAAAUAGCAAAGGAUAAGCCACAGCAAUUCUUGACUGCUUCCAUGAAAAUAGUGUGAAAACUCUUGAAAGCAUGGUGCCUUAGGCUUAAGCAUCCCAAUUUUGAGAACUUUCCAGUUUUAUUUCUUGUUUACCAAAAAAUAAACAUGUACAAUUAAAUUGCACAUGUGUAAGUGUAUGUAAUGAUGUUAUUGGGCCACAUUAAGCUGUAAAGGAUGAGAAAAUCUUAUCUAGUCAAUACCCAAGCAUUGCAUCUCUUUUUCUUUUCCAAGUUUUGAAUGGCGUAAGUCAUGAAAAAUUACUAUCAUUGCUACGUUAUCCCAUAAUAUAAUGUACAUAUAUCACACAUAGAAAUGUUCUCUACGAAAUCACUAUUAUUCUUACUUCAUGGGGCUACGUUAUCUCAUAAUAUAAUGUACUCUCACAUACAAUGACGGAUCUAUUAAGGCGCAAGGAGGUGUAGCUGCACCUUUCUUGGCUAGAAAAACCAUUGUAGGUGCUUCAAAUUGCCACUUUGCUCAGUUGGUGGUGGUGCACUCUAGAUAUACAAAUUACCUUAUUUUCGUUGAAACUUUCAUUUAUUUUUAUGUUACUCCAUUACUUAAGUUUACAAUGUAAAUAAGGAAGUACCCCCCAUUUGGAUUUAAAUAAAAAUACUAGAAAAUCAAAUUCCCACCAAAUCAAAAUAUGAAAAAUCAAUUUUAGUGCAAAAUAAGAUUUAGACUAAAAAUGAUGGCUCAUAAAGUCAAUAUAUACUUCAUAAUAAAAUCCCAUAAAAUCAAGUUUUCUUAUUUGAUGUGUAAGGAAUAAAAGCCGCCAAAAAUUAUCUUGAAAAAAUGAUUAUUUCGAAAAACCAUUUUUCAUUCUUAGUAAAUAUAUCUACAUAAAACAAUUUUUCAUGUAUGAUAUGAAUACAUGAAAGGACCUAAGGUCAAUCUAAGUAAAGAGUCUUAGAUGUUCAAUCCACAAAGAGUUUUUAGCCUUUCAAAAUUGCACCUCUGCUAAAAAAUUCAUACGUCUGCCAGUGCUCACAUAUAUAGAAAUAUUAUCUUAUUAUACUGUAAAUUUGAAUUAUGAGUUAAAUUGACUAUUGUCUAAAUGCAUGAUACAAAUCCACGACUCAAUGUAAAUUUGAAUUAUGAGUUAAAUUGACUAUUGUCUAAAUGCAUGAUACAAAUCCACGACUCAACAAAAAUUACGUUGGCACCCUGGAAAAAAGCACAAAAAGAAGAACAUUAUAUAUAUAUAUAUAUAACUUUUCACCCAUUAGUUUGUUAGGGUUUAGUUUUCUCACAGAUAUUUGCAUGCACACUAGGGAAAUGCUACAUAAUUAUAGAGCUACCAAGUCAACAUGUACUUCAAGUAAUAUCACUUUUUUGUCUAGCAAAAAAUAUAUUAGUACAAUUAUUUGUGGAAGAUAGGUAUUAAGAGUGAUGAAUGGCUAGUGUGAAAGGCAUCUGUGUGACUUGCAUGUAAAUCUUCAUCAUUUGGUCAUCAUCAACAAACACCACCUCCAUGACUUGUUUGGCUAAAUGUUUAGCUUUAUGAAGCAUCUUGUUUAUAUCAUAUUUGACCAGCCAAUUAUUUCACAACAUGUGGUUACAACAUGUGGUUAUAUGGGAUUUAUAAAAGGAGCCCACUGAGGCCCAUUAAACAAUCAUCAACAAUAGGUUUGCCUUUGGCAACUAACAUGUCGAUUCGGUUAAAAAAGGCCUCUCAAGAGAUGCUUACAGUACCACAUCAAAACUAUAAUCAAAGAUCACUCGUCUCGGACCUCUAUAAAUAGGACACGAGUCCUAAAAAGAGAAGUAACAAUAAUAUUCGGCUACUUAGCUCUUAUGCUGUCCAAAUUACUAUUUGCUUUGUCUUUAAGCUAACUUAAGUAUCGGAGAGUUUUCAGCCGGUAUCACAUCGAUACCCAAAGUCUUAUCAUUGCUCUUUAUCUUGCAGAUCAUCCACGUCUACCGAAAGGCCCACAAGACCGAAAGUGACGAUUCAUUUUUGGGCAUCAACGCAUCUUUUAUUUGCUAUUCCAACCUGUUGUUUUAAUUUCAGUUGACUAGGACUCUUCUCCCAUAUUUCAUAGCACUCCCAUAUAUCCCACAAAGUUUUUAAUUUCAAACUUAGGCGAUAUUGGAGAUACUUCAGAAAAAAAUUUGUUUAUUUUGUUUAUUUCACUUAACUUUUAAUUUCUAUUGUCAAAAUAAGUAGAGUAAAAAUCCUGAAUCAGUGUGAUUUUUAAUAAAAUAAAGUAAAAGGGACUAAAAUGGAGAUAAAUCAAGGAGAAGAAAUAAUGACUCAAAAUUCUUUACAAUAAAAUAGGAGUACAAAUAGGGUAAAUUAAUCUCUCCUAUAGACUUCUAAAGAAUUCUCGAUUGUUUUUAUAAGAAAAUUCGGUUUGGUCACAUUUUUAGUUUCUUAUUAUAAUUAUUUUGAAAUUUCCUCAAAUAAUUGAAAGACUUUGAACAUUGUCUGGAUAACGGCUACUAUUUGCUUGGCCCAAACCAAAAGCUUAAACGGUCUGAAUGAACCAGAAAACCGUUGGACUAAACCGGUUCAGAUAAAGUAAAAUUUUGGAGAAUUAACAGUAGUGAAUUGGCAAAGUUGGGCAAAGAUGAAGACAUGGCAAAAGAGCUAAGCCAAAGAACAAGACAAUGGUAGAGAGUAAGAGAGAAGAAGCACAUCGAGAAAUGAAAGGAGGAGAAGAAAAGACUGUGAAACCAUUAAGCCUCCUCCCCAUGACUCAUGAGCAUUAUUGGUCUCCAUUUUUGUCUUUUCUAUUUUGUUUCUUCCAUUUUUAUUAUAUUAUAUGGUUUUUUCUUAGUCUAUUUACAUUAACUUUUGCAUGUGACAUUGACCAUGACUCCAUUAAGCUACUGUGCAGCAUGUCAUGCAUUGCAAUUAUCUUAUCAAUGUUCCAAGGUCAAACAUAUAUGAAUGGUUAGAUUUUCACCAAAUAAUGAGGCACAUCCAUUUUCAUACUAUGAGGAGGCUUUGUUUAAGUUUGAUUAUAGCACCUAAAAUCUCAUAUUGUGGGGAUAAGAUAACAUGAAUGAUUCAAAAUCUAAAAUUGGGUUAAGGUAACCAAGAUUACUGCAUUUUUCUAUACUAAUACUACGUUUCAUUUUGAGCUUAAAGUAAAAUGAAAAUCACAAAAUAAUAUUGGAUAUAAGCAAUAUCAACACAAAAAACUAUAAGCUCCCAUCCAGACUCAACAUAUCAAUCUAUAAUAGCUCAACUCUCAUCUCUCAUGUCAUCUAAACCUUUCUGAUUUUGAUGUUUGAGUACUAAAAAUGUACCUAAAUUAUGUGCUUUACAUAUAACUUAUUUGAACAGCUGAAAUUUGAAUUGUGUGUUCCAACUCAAUUAAGCAGCUCACAGAUUCCAAAAUUCAAAAUAUGCUGCCCUUUCUUGUUGGAUUUCUUUUUUGGUGAAUGCUUGUUUGAUAUUUUGAUCUUAAAAUAAAACAUUUUUCAUGGAACAACUAAAACCCGGUCCAAUUUCAAACCGGUUCAGUGCCCACCCUUAAAUUACAAGGCGGGUCGACGGUUAAAACGUCAAAAAAGAAUCAGCCAACAGUCUUUGUCCUCAUUUCUGUCUCCUUCUCUCACCUCUUUCUCUUGUUUCUCUUCUAUUGCAAUAGCUGUCUUUUGUAUACUUUCUGGUUUUGGGAGAAUGUCAGUGAAGCUUUUCACAAACUCGUCUUUGCUUCAAACCCAAAUCCAAUUAUCCACCAAAAAAUGUCCUCCUUACAAGAAUUGCUCACAGAUGAAAGACUAGAACUUGGAAAAAAGUACCCAAAAAGCCCAAAACCAGUGAAACACAGAGAAAGAGUUGCACCAGAUGAAUCUAUAGCUCUGCUGCCUAUAUACAUCUGCCAUGGUCGAAAAAGUUACGACUUUUCCAACCACGAGGCUCAGAAGCCUGCCAUGAGAAAAGGGUCGUCUAGAAGGGUGAGUUCUACUUCAGAGAGAUCAAAUUCCAAGUCACUGGUUUCAGAGAGUUCAAGAACUAAUGAGCCUGCCAUUGAUGAAGUUGCCACCAGAGCUGUGAUUUCUAUACUUAGUGGUUGUGCAGGCCGGUAUAUAAAGGAUGAAGCUUUCCGGGAAACAAUCUGGGAAAAAUGCAGUUGUUGUUUGGUGAGAAAGAAAAAGGAUGAGGACAAUGAGAUCUUUGCAAACUUGGAAUUGGGUAUUGAAAGCAUUAACAAGUUGGUGGAAGAUCAAUGGUCAUCAAAUAAGGAAUUAAGGAAGAAAACAAUAAGGAAUUCGAUUCGGGUUUUGAGCAUUGUUGCUUCCUUAAACUCUAGCAAGUCCAAAAAUGGUUCAACAUGUGGAACACCCAAUUCACAUCUCUCUGCUUGUGCUCAGCUCUACUUGGCAAUUGCUUACAAGAUUGAGAAAAAUGACCCGGUUUCGGCUAGGCAUUUGCUUCAAGUGUUCUGUGAUUCACCGGUUUUAGCCCGAACCCAUUUGCUUCCUGAUCUUUGGGAGCAUUUCUUUCUUCCACAUCUUCUUCAUGUGAAGAUUUGGUAUGCCAGGGAAGCUGAUGUUCUUUCAAACUCAGAGGACCCUGAGAGGGAAAAGAAAAUGAAAGCCAUAACCAAGGUCUAUAAUGACCAAAUGGAUAUGGGAACUACACAGUUCGCUCUGUACUACAAAGAGUGGCUUAAAGUUGGGGUUGAGGCCCCUCCUCCUGUUCCUCCUAAUAUACCUUUACCUUCAAUAUCCAGUUGCAGAUCAUCAAGAAGGAGAUCAUCUGAUUCUUACACUUCACAUUCCUCAUUAAACAAAAAUUUGUAAGUAACAUUAAUCCAUGGAUACAUUUUAAUCAUUUCUUGCAAAACAUUCAGAAAGUAUAUUUAACUUGCAGUUUGUGUUGUAAUUGUGUAUCUUGUUUCAUGAUUUCUAAAAUCACUAAAGAUACCGAGCUAUAUUUGGCCCCACGCUUGAACGAAGAUCACUAGACCUCCUCUAUGAUCGAAAUGGAGUUUCGAAUGCUACUUGGGGUUUGCAUGAGGAGGAGGGAAAUCAGUGGGCAGAUGAAGAUAAUUACAGCAAUCUCAGUUAUGUUCAUGUGGGUAACUGUGUCUUCAUCUCAAUUCGCCACCCUUCAUUUUUGCAAUAAUUGAAUGUUGUAGUGGAGAAUUCACAUUAUUUCUGACUUUGGCAGAGGGGAGGCAGGACUGGACGAAGGUCAUCCAGCCAAAAUCAUAGAAAUCCAAAAACUGAGUUUUGGCCUGAGCCUGAGACACAGAAAUCAGACUAUUUUGGAUUCUUUAGGUGCCAGAAUGGACCAACCGAAUGCUUGGUGAACAGGAACCUUAUUGUCAAAAAUAAUUCAAUCCGGAAAGAAGACAAUUCCCAUCUUCCUUCAAGCAAUUUAAGCAGUGCUAUUAGCACUAUUUACUCCUCGGAUAAUCUAAUGGAUUGUGAAAUUGCAAUUCGUGUAAUUACUAAAGCUUGGUUGGACUCACAUGGUGAUCCUGUCAUUGAAGCUGAGUUAGCAAAGGCACCUGUUAUCCAGGGAAUGCUGGAGGUGUUGUUUGUUUCCACCGACGAUGAAAUUUUGGAAUUAGUCAUAUCCGUGUUAGCUGAAUUUGUAGCAAGAAAUGAGAUGAACAGGCAUAAUAUACUGAAUUCAGAUCCACAGCUUGAAAUUUUCAUGAGACUUCUUAGAAGUAGUGGUCUAUUUUUGAAAGCUGCCAUUCUGCUAUACCUGUUAAAGCCAAAGGCAAAACAGAUGAUAUCAGUUGAUUGGGUGGCACUAGUCCUUCGAGUGCUAGAGUUCGGAGAUCAGUUGCAGACCCUAUUCAGGGUUCAAUGCAGUCCUCAAGUGGCAGCAUUGUACCUAUUGGACCAGCUUCUUACUGGUUUUGAUGAAGACAGAAACUUAGAGAAUGCUAGACAGGUGGUUUCUCUAGGGGGGUUGAGCCUUCUAGUGACACAAAUUGAGAGAGGGGAUACUCAUGAGAGGAACAAUAUUGCUUCCAUCAUUUCGUGUUGUGUUCGAGCUGAUGGAAGCUGUCGAAACUACUUAGCUGAUUUUCUCAACAAGGCUUCUCUUCUUGAACUCAUUAUACUUGGAAAUGGCAGUAACUCUACUGGCUCCGCAGUUGCUUUAUUGAUCGAAAUACUCUGCCUUAGUAGGUAUGGAUUUAUCUUUUUAUCUUUUCGCCUGUUUGAGUCUUCUGGUUAUUUUUUGAUGUUCUAUUUACAUUUUGAUCGACUAAAUGAUUCUUCUCAGACGAAAGAAGAUCAAUGAAAUCCUUGAUGGACUGAAAGAAGGAUAUGGUGGGUUUAACACAAUGCAAAUUUUGUUGGUCCAUCUCCAAAGAGCUGCACCUGAAGAACGUCCACUAAUUGCAGCCAUUUUACUACAGCUUGAUCUUAUGGUAAAUCCAUUGUUAGUGUUUAUGCAUCCUUCUCAUAGAAAUGGUUGCUCAAAAUUUAAACUUUUUUCAACUUUUGGCAACCAAAAUGUUCACAUAAGUAAAUCAAUCUUUGCUCUAGACUUUUAAUUUAUAUCUUGAAUAGUUCCCAUAUGGAGUAGCAGUUUUGUUGCAGGGAGACCCUUUCAGGAGCAGUGUAUAUAGAGAAGAAGCCAUUGAAGCAAUUAUAGCAGCUUUAAAUUGUCAAACAUGUCAUGAAAAAGUCCAGGAAAGAUCAGCAAGUGCUCUCUUAAUGUUGGGAGGCUGGUUUUCUUACACAGGAGAGGCAUCAACAGAACAUAGGCUUUUACAACAAGCAGGUUUCAGUUAUUGGCCAAGGGCUUCAUAUCACUUCAAAGAAAAUGUUAUGGAUGGUUUUGUACACUCAGUAAGCUUUCUAUUACACUAAACCAGCUAAGAUUUAUCAAUCUAUGAAAAAAAAACAAAUACUGACAAUAAUUUUAUGUGAUCCGAAAAUUAGAACGAAGAUGGAGAAGCAACAGAAAAUUGGCAAAGGAAAGCAGCCAUUGUCCUAUUCAAAAGUGGCAAUAAGAAACUAUUGGUGGCUCUUUCAGAUUCAAUAGCAAAUGGCAUUCCAAGUUUAGCCCGAGCAAGCCUUGUCACCGUUUCAUGGAUGAGUAGCUUUCUAAGUACAGUUGGAGAUGAAAAUUUGAGGAACAUGGCAUGCUCAAUUCUUGUGCCUCAGUUGCUAGAAUCACUGAAUUAUGACAAAGAUGUAGAGGAAAGAGUACUUGCUUCAUACUCAUUACUGAGUCUUGCAAAAAGUUCAGGUACAUUUUUCCAUAGAGAAAACCACAAGGGAAGAUACAAUCAUACAAAUUUCUUGCAAUCCUAAGCUCAAUGGUUUGUUUUUCUUGCUUGUUUUGAAAAUCAAGAAUUUAAUUCAUUUGUUUAUUGCAGCUCAUGAGUAUGUCCCCAUGGUGUCAUCACUGGACAAAGAAUUGGUCAGCAAACUUAAAAAUCUCUCCUUAGUGACAUGGACAGCUAAUGAGCUUAUUUCAAUCAUCACAAGCAAUUAAUCAAGGCAUCAAUCACUUUGAGACCUAGAAUUUGCUCCACAUGAAUGAAACACCAGAAAAUGAAUUGAAUCUUCCUUGGAGGCAAGUUUAGCAGUGCUGGGAUUGGAGUAUCUCUCUACUGGGUCCUUUUUUUUUUUUGAGUGUGUGCAUGUAUUCCCCAUAUUUCUUUGUUAUGGUUUUCUUUGUUCCAUAAAUGGCUAUUUUUGUAUAGUGCAGCAUAUUUGGAGAAAAUAUUAUUUAUCCAACCAAGAAUGAUGAGUACAGAACAGAGCCUGGUAUAAAUUUUUUUUUUUUUUUUUUUAAGGACCUUUCCUAUUGAGAGGAGCGAUAGUAUAUUAAACUCACACACACUACACGGAUGCUAGGACUUGAACCCAUGACUUUCCUUCCAGGAGCAAUUGCUCCAAACCACUACACUAGUGGGUCCUUUGCAGCUUGGUAUAAAUUGUCAUUUUCCUAUUAUUAUUCUUUCAAUAUUAUUAACUAAACCACAAAAUUAGUUACAUAAGUAGACAAAUCAAUUCACUAAUCUAAACCUUCACCAGAUGCAAGUCCCAAAAUUACCAACAACCCAAUCUCAAGUCUCAACCUGUCAUAUCCUCCAUUUACCCUCCAAAUAGCAAGUUGGCCCAUACAGCGCUAUGAUUUUAGAGUGGUUCCUCUAUGAUUUCAUCAUUGGCCCCCCAUAAUGACCUGUCAUUCUAAUCCAAUCUUUUAUCCCAAAUGCAACCAAUGACAGGAGUCUGGAGUGCGUGUGAAAUCCUGCAGUUCUUGAUAAGUUGCUCUGAAAGCAACCCAAAGAACAAAUUCAACUUUGGUUUGUAAAUUCAUGACACAUAUAUGUUUCUGCCAUUGUCCUUAUAUUAUAACAAAGGGCAUCUCCAAGUUGAAAGCCAACAGCAUAAAGGCAAUGCCAACUAACAGAAACAACAAUCUUUCAAGCUUAUAUGUCUGUAGAUAACCUGCACAUUUCAGUGGUCCCCCAGCCCCAAGAGGAAUUUAAUUUCACAUCUUGGCCAAAUCUCAAAAACAAGUGAAAAAAUAUGCAUUAACUUGCACCACAGUUUCAAUUAGAUAAUCUUUGAACUCCCAAGAAUCCAAGGAAAGGACCACAAGUAAAGAUACAUCCAAUCCAACAGAUAUGCAAGCAAAAAAAAUAGAGGGAGAGCCAUGAAAAAGAACCAAACUUAAAAAUAUUAUACUAUUUAUAGUUUCAAAGGUAAGUACAAAACCUGGUUAGAAACUCUGCAUUAGCCUGAAACACCACCCAGCAUUCAUGGAAUGAGUAAUACAAUAAUAUCAAUGCAACUUGAAAUAAGCCAGCUAAUAGAAUCAAUACACGGUCUUUCUUUCUGAUCGAAAAAGAACAGCACUGAAGACAAAAUAUAGAGGCUGGAGCCUACUUCUGAAUCAAAGCCUGCAAUAGUAUGAAUAAAAUGGGAUGAGAAGAACAGCUUGAAACAAAAAUACCCAUUCUUAAUUAAUUGUGUUUUGGAUCCAAGAGGAACCCAAACCUCAUGAAACAUUCAAAGGUAUUAGCUCAUUAUAAUCAUGUUUUGUUUAAGUUAUAAUCGUAUGAUUUUCGAGUUGAUCAUCGUGUUCGGGUUGACCCAAAUGGAUGAAGUGAACGGAAAGUUUAACAUCAACAUUCACUUAUUUACAAGUUCUUACUUAUUCAAUAUUUGUACAAUAAAAAUUCACUUCAUCCUAAGUAUAGUUAUCAAAUACUAUAUAUAAAAAAAAGAUUAAUCCUAUGAUUAUAUAAUUACUCUAUAAUGCAUAUUAGAAAAUUGAAAAAUGAAUUAUAUCUUUCGUAUCAAAAUGGUUAUUUGCAUUAGCGGAUUAUCGUAUUCAAGUUUGACUGUCGUGUGCAAAAUUGUCACCCCUAGGAACAACACGACACUAAAAAAACCAACAACAUAAAGUAAUAAAAAAUUUAUCAACUUCUCAAGAAAAAAAUAAAAUUUGUAUAAAAAAAAUUUAUGAAUCAAAAUAUUUACCUUUCACGUCACUAUGUGGCACUUUCAUAAGUUAUGCAAAUAAGCAUUGCCGAGGUUCAAACAGAGAUUCAAACCACAAUAUUAAAUAACAUUCAAACUGAUAUAAAAAGCCUGAUGUCAAACCACAAUAUUUUGUAAUUCUCAAUUCGUACAUCACACACAAGAAAGAAACACAAAGAAACCCAACACUACAAAGACUUACAACUGACUAGAUCCUCUGAGAGUAAUUGAGAACCCCUUGGGCACACAGAAUGUUCAACACACAAACAGCUCAAAUUACAAUACUUAAAUAACACACAGACCAUACGCAGUAGAGAAAAUGCUGAUCAUAACAUUUCGACACAAAAAAAGAAAAGGAGGUUGGAGUUGCGCCAGGGUUUGCCAAGUUACAGAACCGUAUCCUUCAUGUUCCACAAAAGAGAGAUCACAGGAUCAUGCUUCCACCUUCAUAUGAAAAACAUUGUGUUUUCCAGGUCAGCAUGCAGUUUGUAAAACCUUUUCUCUAGAGAAGCCACUGAUAGUGGUGACGAUGCUGAGGAUGAUGAUGAUGAGGAGGAGGAUGCUGAAGCUGGAGACUGUCCCUCCAUACUCUCAUGGUAUAAUCGCCCUCUAUAUGCCACAAGGUCAGCAUAAUACACCGGUGGGACCAACGAUACCGGUUUAGUACACCUUGCAAACGUGAAGCACAAGUCAUAUAUGAGCUUCUGCAAUUGGUCAGAAGUAAACCAGUGUUCAUCCCAAAGAACAUGGUAGCGUGUGGGUUUGCUUGUUCCAAGGGCUCCAUAAUGACUGCAGAGAUAGAAGUCAAACUGAAAUGGGUGCACGAUUAUUGUGUCCACCACAGUUCCCGGUAAUACGUUGCCUGUGGAACUACCAUCCCUCAUACUCUCCGGAAAGAGACGAGUAUGGUGCCGUUUCUGGGCAACAAUUAGUGUGAUGGUUGGAUAGUAUUUUAUACCUCCUAAAGCCCUUUUCAGAUCUAGUAACUCUUCAUUGCGAACCAUAUCAAACUGGCCCUCACUGACUCCAUCACGGAAGACAACAAUUUUGUCCGGCUUGACUUUAUUCAAUCGCUCAUAAGUUUCAACAAGCUCCAGACACAUGUCUCCAAAAUUCAAUAUCUUCUCAGUGCGAUGGUCCUGGGGUCGGACUCGUGCAGCAUAACGAUUCGCGGCAGGCCAGUUUACAGUGGCAACAACAGCUGCAAUUGAUGGACUUGUCGUGUUCCGCGCAGCAGGAUGAUUCACAUCAGCCCCCACAAACAUAACAUGGCCUGCAACCCCAAAGAGGGGAAACCGAUCACUUAGCUCUACAUUACUGCCUCCAAGCUUGGCAUUGAUCUUAAGGGCAAGAUUUGAAAGAUACUGGUCAUUUGCUUUGUUAGCCAUAUUUGACAAGCAGCACUGCGUCACUAUACCAAUUUGAGUCUCAGAGAUCCACUUCAGAUACUUGUAACCAGGAUCUUUUCGAGCCAUUACACAAACAAGUAAUUGUAAAUGGCCUUUGCUUUUUUUGUAUGCCUGUUCAUUAAUGCUUUCAAGCAGCUGACGAAGCAUCUAAACACUAGUGAAUGGUCUCAUGGAAAUGGCUUCGUACAAAACAGGCUCUCCCAUUAUGAUUCCCAGUUUGUUGCACUUUGUGAUGAGCUUUGGGAUGAAUUGAGUAGGAUCCAGACAGAAUCGAUCAUAACUGCUGAAGUCAAGUACAGCCCAGUGACUGAUUGGUUUUCCUUCCACUAGAGACUUCCCAACAAGAUUCCAAUGGCAUUUUUCUCGGUCAACUGUUACCUUAGUCAUCCUGCCAUCAGAAGAAGGACCCAACUUCAACUCAGGUGGGACAAUGACACGCCCUAUUACUGAUGUCAUAUUCAUGUUGACUUCAAUUCCAAAAUUCUCAAUGAUGCCACCACUGCCAAUAACUAAAGAAUCAGGAUCAUAAUUAAUAAUGCAGUUUUUUAUGUAGAAUUAAGUUAAUCAAAAUGGUAAAACUAUCUUGUUGGGAUCUGUACGUGUGCAUGCCACAGAGAUCUGUACACUUCAUUAAAUUAAGGUAACACCGCUAUAUGCGAAAAAAUUCCACUAUCACCAGCAUGUUCAUAAAUGAUAUUAGAGCAGAACUGUAGUUCUCAUCCUUCAGAGGAACCAACUGCCUGCUGACUAAAAUCAUACACACUAAUUGUGUUCCAUGAGAGGAAGAAUGACUUCAAGAAAAAUCAAGUAAACAACAGUGGAAGUUUGUUCACAUCUAACUUUACUAACCAAAAGAAAGGACACAAAAUAGCUUACCCACAAGGUCCAUCACCAGAUUGUACCAUGCCACAUAUCAUGUUCUCUCUAACCUUUGGUGAAGCCAAUGACAUGUCCUUCAGCUUGAUAGCUGCAUUUCUGUCCAAAUUCUCCUUUGGAUACCUUUGCCCCUCAACUAAGACACAGAACUCCAGCGGUGUAUAGUUCUUCCUACCAUUUUUCCCCAAAUCCAAGCAGGGAAUGUUUUUGUACUGGAUCUCCUGGUAUUUUUCCCUGAAAUAAUCAAGCAGCCUAACUUUCUUAGGUGUACACUGGCCAUCUAUGCCUGCAGCAUCAAAUGUAAUGUCUCCUGCAUUCUUAUCAGUCAGCCCCUUGAUGAUGUACUUUUGCUUGGUUCUAAGGUGUGUCACGGUAACUUUCAAUCCCAUCAAUACAUCCACAACCUCUCUCCUAAACCUGUUGAGAUUGUUUAAAUCAAAGCCCCUGAUCUGCUCUUGCAGAAAAUCUAUAACGGGCAGGCGCUUAUAAAAUGCCAAGACUGAGUAGUCAAGACACAAGGCAGGACCCUGGAAAGUCAUCCUUGAGCUUUGCUGAAACCCUCUAAAUGCAGCAAUACCAUGUCCAAGGUCAUCGUUUUGAUUUGAUGUAGCGGGGUAAAAGCUUCGCCCAACAGAAACCAAGCACCUAGUUGGAUUUUCUUUCAUCACCAAAUCCAUACCCUGCAAUAUAUCACGAGGGAUAGACAAGAGUUGGCCACUACAGUACUCCUUCAACUUGCAAAGCUUGAGCUCAUUUACCAAAUUUAUGGUAAAUAUGUAUGAACUGAACCGCGUGCCUUCUUCCUCAGAAACCUCCACCUUAAAUGAUCCGGUGGGCAAUGGCACUGCACUGAAGAUGUUCUUUCCAUCAUCACAUGCGGUACUUGACAAGGGAAAAUCCGAAGGAUUAUCAUAGGAUAACUUCUUCCUGAUUGCAGAGAGUUCAGACUUCGACAUUUUCACAGGACGGCCAUUUUUAGCAGGCUUCUCUGGCUUGACAUCAACAUCGUAGUGCCUUAUAAUACUCUCAGGAUUGUACGAGAGAUUAAAAUGAUUAGCACGAAGCCUAGUAGUUCGGAUAGAUUUUGUGCCUCCAUUAUCAGGCCGUCUCACAGGGAGUUUUUUGUCUGCUUCAUCCAAAGAAGGCGAAGAAAGUGCCUGUUUCGAAAUUUCCAGAGAUUGCAUUCUAGGAACAAGAGUAUCUGUGAAGAAAAAAGAACAAACAAAAGGUGUUAUUACCAAGCCUCAUUUUUUAUGUAAAUCCAAAUGGCUAGACCAACGGUAGCUAAAAAACUGACAUUUAGGAAUAAAAAUGCAACGGCUUCAUUCACAGCCUAUAUGAUAUGAUCAGUAGUGCAAAUUUCAAUUGUAUCUCAAAAAGGACCCAGAAUGAAGAAGAAAAAAAAAUUACCGGGAGUAGGAGAGUUGAUCGGGGCUGGAGAUACAGCAGGAGAGGCUGCUCUGGUGGGAGCGGGACUAUUCCAUGGAGAAGGCCUCCCUUGCUGGCCCGAACUCUCAUUCGGUUGUUGUAUACUGCUGCUGCUGCAGCGGUUGUUGUUGAUGGUGGUACUGGGACCCACCACCACCAUGACCGCCAUAACCACCUCUUCCUCCUCCACUUCCUCUGCCGUAGCCACCAUAAUCACCUCUUUCACCACCAUCACUGCUGCCUCUACGUCUUCCUCUGUUUCCACCACCACCUCUUUCCAUUGGAGAAAUCGGGAGCAAACUCAAAAACGAUCGAAGAGAAAACUUGCCUCAAAUUCGUACUCUCUCAAUUCACAAAAAUCAGAAAUGAGUCUGUGAUCAAGAUGAGAAGUUGGUUCCUUAUAAAGGGUGUUGGGUGGAAUGACGAUCUUGUCCCUGCGCGAUUGCCUUAGUCCCGAAGUGCCUUAGUCACGAAGAAAUCAACCAAAAAGGAGACGCGGGAGUGGGAGCGAUUGGAAAAUGGUUUUAGAUUUUUGGUGGAAAGUCCAGAAGCUUCCAUGGAACAGAGAGGAAUUUGCUUCUUCUUUCUUUUUCGCCCAAGGGUUGCAUGAGGAACUGUAUUUGAUAACAUUCUCCUGUUUCUCGUUUCGCUUAUAUUCGCUCACUCUGUCCCCGCCCUUUUUUUUUUCUUUUUUUUUUUUUGAUAAUGCUUCCAAGUUCCCUCCUUUAAAAAUACAAAAGAAAGGUUCCCUCCUUGCCUAGCUCAACCACCACCACGUGUCUUUUUUAAUUCUCAAUUCUUUUUAAUUUCUUACCCAAGUUAAAAUUUAAAUUCUUUUGCGACCCAUUGCAACUCCUUAUAAUCCCCCUCCAGCCAAAACAAUAUGGUAAACAAUGAACUCUGGUAAACAUAACCUUUUUAUGAUUUUAUUUUUUUUUCGUUUUUUUUUUUGUUUUUUUUGUUUUGCUAAAGAUAAGAAGGGAGGAAAAAAUUCACACAUAGUUGUGGGAACCUAAUUAAAUCAAACCCUAGGUCAAAUAAUUCCUACCAUUUGGGGAUUAUUUGACCCAAUUGGGAAUCAAUCAACCUAAUUGGGAGUUACUCAAUUUAAUUGGGAAUUACCCAAUUAAAUUGAGCGUUACCUAAUUAGGUUGAGAUUUGAUUUGGUUAAUUACCACGAUCCCCAAUUAAAUGAGAAGAUACCUAAUUGAAUCGGGAUUUGAUUUGAUACCUACCACAAUUAGGGAUUUGAUUUACCCUAAUAAAUCAAAUCCCUAAUUAAUCAAAUCAAUUCCAAAAAGGGGAGGAAUAAUUCCCUUCCAUCUACGGAAUUAUUCCUCUGAAACCCUAGCCUCCGAGACUACUAUAAAAGCAUAGCCAUACACAAUGGUUGAGGUACGUCAGAAUUACUACUAAAAUCUCUGCAGAAAAUUCCUCUCAAACCCUAGCCACCUCCUCUCUUUCUCUCUUUUACAUAAGGCUCCGGCCGCCCGAUUUAUAUUAUAAACACAUCCCGUACCCUAUUUUAGCUAUUGUUUCUCUAAAGAUCGAUUGAACUGACUUAGGCAUCGGAGGGCCUUUGGCCAACACCCCCCGGGUGUGGUCUUUUACUCCGAUCUGUUUUGCAGGGAGAAAGAGAGGCGGAGAAGACGAAGGAAUCUUGGCGAAUAUUCUCCCGUGAGAUUAUUUGCACAAACAAUAGUAAUAUGAAAGUUUGAACUCAUGAUCACUUGAGAGCACAACAAAGAAGCUAUUCAACUAACACCUUAUGGAUUCUUAGAACAAGCAAAUUUUGAGUGACAAGAGAUAGUAAAACACAUAAUGAAAAUACAUCAACAGAUUUCUGAACACAAAAUUAGAAUAGUCUCAUUAUGACCACAAGUGACAAUCACGGUCAAGAACAAAAAGAUACAUCCCUUCAUCACCAAUUUUGAGAUUAAAAAACACUAUUAAUUUGUAAUUAAGACAUUACUAGAUAAGGACGAGUUCCUCCUUAAAUUCACACAUAAGAAAUAAACACCCAUUAGAUUCACGCACAAACUCCUUUUGAGGAGGUUGGAGUUGCCCCCGGGAUUGCCAAGUUACAAAACCACAUCCUUCAUUUUCCACAAAAGAGAGAUCAGGGAUCAUGCUUCGACCUUCAUACGAAAAACAUUAUGUUUUCCAGGUCAGCAUGCAGUUUGUAAAACCUUUCCUCUAGAAAAGCCACUGAUAGUGGUGAUGAUGCUGACGAUGACGAUGAUGAUGAGGAGGAUGCUGAAGCUGGAGACUGUCCCUCCAUACUCUCAUGGUAUAAUCGCCCUCUAUAUGCCACAAGGUCAGCAUAGUACACCGGUGGGACCAACGAAACCGGUUUAGUACACCUUGCAAACGUGAAGCACAAGUCAUAUAUGAGCUUCUGCAAUUGGUCAGAAGUAAACCUGUGUUCAUCCCAAAGAACAUGGUAGUGUGUGGGUUUGCUUGUUCCAAGGGCUCCAUAAUGACUGCAGAGAUAGAAGUCAAACUCAAAUGGGUGCACGAUUAUUGUGUCCACAACAGUUCCCGGUAACACAUUGCCUGUGGAACUACCAUCCCUCAUACUCUCUGGAAAGAGACGAGUAUGAUGCCGUUUCUGGGCAACAAUUAGUGUGAUGGUUGGAUAGUAUUUUAUACCUCCCAAAGCCUUCUUCAGAUCUAGUAACUCUUCAUUGAGAACCAUAUCAAACUGGCCCUCACUGACUCCAUCACGGAAGACAACAAUUUUGUCCGGCUUAACUUUAUUCAAUCGCUCAUAAGUUUCAACAAGCUCCAGACACAUGUCUCCAAAAUUCAAUAUCUUCUCAGUGCGAUGGUACUGGGGUCGGACUCGUGCAGCAUAACGAUUUGCGGCAGGCCAGUUUACAGUGGCAACAACAGCUGCAAUUGAUGGACUUGUCGUGUUCCGCGCAGCAGGAUGAUUCACAUCAGCCCCCACAAACAUAACAUGGCCUGCACCCCCAAAGGGGGGAAGCCGAUCACUUAGCUCUACAUUACUGCCUCCAAGCUUGGCAUUGAUCUUAAGUGCAAGAUUCGAAAGAUACUGGUCAUUUGCUUUGUUAGCCAUAUUUGACAAGCAGCACUGCGUCACUAUACCAAUUUGAGUCUCAGAGAUCCACUUCAGAUACUUGUAACCAGGAUCUCUUCGAGCCAUUACACAAACAAGUAAUUGUAAAUGGCCUUUGCUUGUUUUGUAUGCCUGUUCAUUAAUGCCUUCAAGCAGCUGACGAAGCAUCUGAACACUAGUGAANNNNNNNNNNNNNNNNNNNNNNNNNNNNNNNNNNNNNNNNNNNNNNNNNNNNNNNNNNNNNNNNNNNNNNNNNNNNNNNNNNNNNNNNNNNNNNNNNNNNAACAGGCUCUCCCAUUCUGAUUCCCAGUUUGUUGCACUUUGUGAUGAGCUUUGGGAUGAAUUGAUUAGGAUCCAGACAGGAUCGAUCAUAACUGCUGAAGUCAAGUACAGCCCAGCGACUGAUUGGUUUUCCUUCCACUAGAGACUUCCCAACAAGAUUCCAAUGGCAUUUCUCUCGGUCAACUGUUACCUUAGUCAUCCUGCCAUCAGAAGAAGGACCCAACUUUAACUCAGGUGGGACAAUGACACGCCCUGUUACUGGUGUCAUAUUCUUGUUGACUACAAUUCCAAAAUUCCCAAUGAUGCCACCACUGCCAAUAACAAAAGAAUAAAAUUCAUAAUUAAUCACUGCAGUCUUAUGCAGAAUUAAGCUACUCAAAAUGGUAAUAACAUCACCCUAUUAAUAAGCAUCUUUUGUGCAUAAAAGAUGUUGAUAUUCAAUAUGCUUAGAUUCACUACUACCGCUGAGUUUAUCUACAACCCAUUUACUUGUGCAAGCUACAGAAACCUAUAGACUAUCAUUAAUUAAGUUAAUACCAUUACAUGGGAAACAAUUCCACUAUCACCAGCAUGUUCAUAAAUAGUAUUAGAGCACAAUACUAGUUCUCAGCCUUCAGAGAAGUGAACUGCCUGCUAACUAAAAUCAUACACACUAAUUGUGUUCCGUGCAUGAGGAACAAUGAAGUCAUGAAAGCUCAAGUAAACAACAGUGGAAGUUCGAUAAUAGUCAAACUUCACUAGGCAAAAAUAAAGGACAUAAAUUUACUUACCCACAAGGUCCAUCCUCAGAUUGUACCAUGCCACGUAUCAUGUUCUCUCUAAUCUCUGGUGAAGCCAAUGACAUGUCCUUCAGCUUGAUAGCUGCAUUUCUGUCCAAAUUCUCCUUUGGAUACCUUUGCCCCUCAACUAAGACACAGAACUCCAUCGGUGUAUCAUUCUUCCUACCAUUUUUCCCCAAAUCCAAGCAGGGAAUGUUUUUGUACUGGAUCUCCUUGUAUUUUUCACUGAAAUAGUCAAGAAGUCUAACUUUCCUAGGUGGACACUGGCCAUCUAUAUCUACAGCAUCAAAUGUAAUAUCUCCUGCAUUCUUAUCAGUCAGCCCCUUGAUGAUGUACUUUUGCUUGGUUUUCCGGUGAGUCACAGUAACUUUCAAUCCCCUCAAUACAUCCACAACCUCUCUCCUGAACCUAGUGAAAUCUUUUAAAGUAAAACCCCUUAUCUGCUGUUGCAGAAAAUCUAUAACUGGCAUGCGCUUAUGAAAUGCCAAGACUGAGUAGUCAAGACACAAAGCAGGACCCUGGGAAGUCAGCCUUAAGCUAUGCUGAAACCCUCUAAAUGCAGCAAUACCAUGUCCAAGGUCAUCGUUUUCAUUAGAUUCAGCAGGGUAAAAGUUUCGCCCAACAGAAACCAAGCACCUAGUUGGAUUUUCUUUCAUCACCAAAUCCAUACCCUGCAAUAUAUCACGAGGGAUAGACAACACGUGGCCACUCAAGUACUCCUUCAACUUGCAAAGCUUGAGCUCAUUUACAAACUUUAUGGUAAAUAUGUAUGAACUGAACCGUGUGUCUUCUUCCGCAGGAACCUCCACCUUAAAUGAUCCAGUGGGCAACGGCACUGCACUGAAGAUGUUUUUUUCACCAUCAUAUGCCGUACUUAACAAGGGAAAAUUCGAAGGAUUAUCAGAGGAUAACUUCUUCCUGAUUGCAGAGAGUUCGUACUUCGACAUUUUCACAGGACGGCCAUUCUUAGCAGGGUUCUCUGGCUUGACAUCAACAUCGUAGUGCCUUAUAAUACUCUCAGGAUUGUACGAGAGAUUAAAAUGGUUGGCACGAAGCCUAGUAGUUCGGAUAGCUUUUGUGCCUCCAUUAUCAGGCCGUUUCACUGGGAGUUUUUUGUCUGUGUUGUCCAAAGAAGAUGAAGGAGGAGUCUGUUUCGAAAUUUCCAGAGCUUGCACUCGGGGAACAAGAGUAUCUGUGAAGAAAAAAGAACAAACAAAAUGUGUUAUAAUCACCAAGCCUCAUUAUUUAUGUAAAUUCAAAUGGUUAAACUAACUGUAGCAACAAGCUAACAUUAAAUAGUAACCCAAAAAAAUAAAUUCCACUCAACACAUUUAUGCAGAACUCUUAGUUUUUUCACAUAAUGAGACUGGAAAUCAAAUUGUUUAUCUAAGGUAAACAGUCUCUUAGUAAAAUCAACCAAAUGCUUGAUUUAUCACCACAAUAAUCUCUUAGUUAAAGCAAAUUAGUGUAAGCAAUAAACACAUGAUUUAUCACCACAAUCUCAUUAUAUACAUCCAAUACACAACACAUGAUAAAUACAUCAUGAAUUCAAAACAGUAAAACUUGAUCAAAUCAAAAUUAGGGAUUCAAAAUGCAACGGCUUACUCUCCAAAGUAAACAUUGGCUCACAGUCUAUGAUAUGAUCAGUUGCACAAGUUCCAAUUGUAUCUCAAAAAGGGCCCAGAAUGAAGAAGAAAAAAGCGUACCAGGAGUAGGAGAAUUGAUCAGGGCUGGAGAUGCAGGAGCAGCCGCUCUGGGCCCCCACGCAGCCACACGAGGAGUAGGAGAGUUGAUCGAUGCUGGAGAUACCGGAGAAGCCGCUCUGGGCCCCCACGCAGCCAUACCAGGAGGAGUAGGAGAGCUAAUCGGUGCCGGAGAUGCAGGAGAAGCCGCUCUGGGCCCCCACGCUCUGUUGGGCGCGGAAGUGCUCCAUGGAGAAGGCCUCCCUGGCUGGCCCAACUCUGAUUCGGUGGUUGUUGUUGAUGAUACUGCUGCUGCGGCGGCUGCUGAUGCUGCGGCGGAGGUGGUUGUUGAUGGUGAUACUGGGACCCACCACCAUGACCGCCAUAACCACCUCUUCCUCUCUCUCCUCCUCCUCCUCCUCCUCCUCCACCUCUAUUUCCACUUCCUCUGCCGUAGCCACCAUAAUCACCUACGUCACCACCACCACCAUUACUGCUGCCUCUACCUCUUCCUCUUCCUCUACCUCUGUUUCCACCACCACCUCUUUCCAUUGGAGAAUCGGGAGCAAACUCAAAAAACAAUCGAAGAGAAAACUUGCCUCAAAUCGGUACUCUCUGCAUUCACAAAAACAAAAAAUGUAGGGACUGUAAGCGAGAGGAGUUGGUUCCUUUAUAAAGGGUGUUGGAAGAAAUGACGAUCUUGUCCCUGCGCGAUUGUCUUAGUCAUGAAGGAGUCAACCAGGAAGGAGACGUGUGAGUGGGAGCGGUUGGAAAAUGGGCUUGGAUUUUGGGUGAAAAGUCCAGAAGCUUCGAUGGAACAGAGAGCAUGGGUGGGUCCCGCUUUGGCACUUGCUGUGAAAUCGGACAAAGGAAAGGAAUGCGUGCCUUAGGACGGAGGAUUUAAUGACAUUCUCUUUCUAUCUCAUCUUUCUUUUUUCUGUUUUUUCAAAUUUUUUUUGGGACUGAUUUCUUCCUAUUACGAUUCCGGCUUCUACGAAAAAAAGGAGAGAUUCGAUUUCAGGUUUUAUUCUUAUUAUUCGUUGUAUGAAAUGAAUAUUAUAUCUAAUCAAGUAAUUGACACAUUUCUUGAAUUAUUACUAGCCUCUCUUCGCACUCGCUUCCGCACUUAUUAAAGUUUUUUUUUUUUUGAAUUAAAAAUAAUAAUGAGUAGUUGUGUUUCAUAAUAAUAGGAUCAUUUAUUUGAUUUUUCUUUUAAUUUUAAUUUUUUAAUAUAAAAAAUAUGAAUUUAUCAUAUUAUCCUCAUUUAAUUAAUAAUUUUAUUUUUUAAUAUUUACAUUAACCAAUGACAUUUUUCUGGUAUUUUGAAUGUUUCACUAUUCUCUACAUUUUGCUUUAUAUAUAUAGAUAAAAAAAUUUUAAAAAAAAACUUUUUUUAUCAAAAUUAUUAUAAAAACUUUAGUACACUUUACAUAGAAUAGAACUUCUUUUCUUAUAUCAAUAUUCAAUUAACCUAUAUCCCUCAUCCAAGGAAAGAGCAAUUCUUCCUAUAGCCUUUCAUUAAUAUUAUUCUAUAUUAAUCACUAAUUAUCGCUAUAAAAAGAUUACGUAAAAAACUACCGUAAUUUAGAGCUGAUUUGGAAAUGUUUAUGCAGAAAUAAUUUUAGCAUAAUCACUUUAUGCCAGGAGCGCUUCUACAUAGAAUCAUUUUAUUGUUUGAAUGCCAACAUAAAAGUGCUUUUAUACUAAAAUAUUUUCCCACUUACCCUCCAUAUAUUAUAUCCAAAGCAUUCACUAAAUUCGAACACCACAAAACUCUUUUUCCACCCUCCAAUACUAUCAACGCACCCGUAUGUGUUUCUUCGUGCACCAUCUUCUUUCCCCAUAAAUCAUAUUCAUCCUCCUUUGGCAUCCAUGAUCCAUCCAUUACAAGGUACGUUAAUUUUAUAUAUUUCUGCAUAUGAAUUUUCGAGCUCGUGCCUGCCUUUCUUUGUAUUUUUUCCCUUAGGAAAUUCAUAAGCCAAGACUAUGAUUUAGGGUUUUUUUUAAAAGGAUUUAGUGUGUUGUGUGGUUUUUGUUUUUUAAUUAAUUGAAUAUCGGUGAUUCGAAUUUAGAAUCUCUUUCAAUAUUUGAAAAAAGAAAUACGGCUCAAAUAUUUUAUUUUAUUCUUUAACUUAGGCCUUCGGUUUUGCCAAAAAGGUAGGUGCAAUGCAAACAUUAUAUCCUGAGGGUUUGGAACAGCUCCACUCAAUUACAAUAUCAAUUUACCUUGUUUUAUUCAACUUCUCGAAUAUAAAUAUUGAAAAAUUCGUUUUGUUUACAUAAUCAUGGUUGACGUCGAUGAUGUUGCUGUCAUGGCUUUAGGUCAUGCAUAUGAUUUUCAUGCCCUUUACAUAUAUAUGGGUAGUGAGCUUGAUGACCCAGAUCAAUCUUCUAUCACACUUUUAUAAGCCCAACCCAAGCCAACAAUGUCCAAACCCCAAUAAACCAGCUAGUGUUUGCAAGUCCAAUCUUCUACCACACCAUGAUCUGUCACUUGGUCAUAUUUUAUUCACAACACAACUAACCUUUUGGGAUUGAAAAAUUGUAUUAAUUUGAAACCACAUUUAUGGGUUUAACAUGUAGGAUUAUUUUUCAACUGCAUGCGUGUUAGGACUCAAUAUCCUACAUUAUGAAAAAUUACAAUAUUUUAUAAGAUUUUUAGAGAUAAUUAAGUUUUAUUUAGCAAAACAACUGACCAAUAGACUCAAUUAAGGUGGUUGAUAUUAUUAUCUAUGAGCGUAUUAUCGAGUCAUUAAACAUUAGUAGAUGAAUAAAUGACACCGCCCUCCAAAGAAGGAAAGGACUUUCACUAGGUUGUUGUCGAUAGACCGGUCGAUGAAGACGUCGUGUACAAAAGCGUGGUGAACACAUUUUCUUCAUACCUCAGUUUGUAAACGUAAAUUCUAUUCUAGUUCUUUGUGAGUUCAAGUUUGAUGGUGUUGUGAAGUUGUGACUCGUGAGGAGGAGAUUUGUGUUUUCUGUAUAUUUUUUGAGCGCAUGGAUAGCAUUUAGGCAGAGUAAAUUCCAACUUCCAAGCCGCGGGGGUAGAGAUGCCCAUGCUGCAUUGCUGCUUGUGAUUGUGAUUGUGAUUGUGAUUGUGAUUGUGAUUGUGGACCACACCACACAAGUUUUUAUCUCUUUUUCCCUCUCUCACUACACAUAUAUCCUGCUUGCACUGCAUUUCCUCCUUGUCAUGUGAGCCAAAAUGCGACAAUAUAUAAAGAGACAGAUGAAUGAGGUGAUAUGAUCAUAUUUGUUUAUUUAUUUUUAGAGAGAGCACGUCAAUUCAAUCCCAAUUUACACCUGGACCACAGCCAUCACUGACAUGAUCAUCUCCACUUAUUUUUGUUGGGGUUUUGUUUUGUCCAAGGUACAUCAUCUUUUCUUUUUGUCUACUAGGUUGAGUUAAUUUCUUACUUAUUUAAAGAUAAUGGAAGUUAGAGUCCAAGGUUUCUGGUUUCCUUUGUAUGACGAUACUGACCAUAGGAUUACAUAGUAUACUCACAGUGUAACAAAAUAGUAACUUUUCGGAGUUUAAUUUAAAGUUAUUAACAUGCUAUGUGGUGUUAGAAGUAACGAUGUUUUUUCUCUUGAAUAAUAAAAUGAGUAGUUCAGUUCUUUUGGACCACAAGAGUUUAAGAAAUUUGUGGUUAUUUAUCUUUGGAUUUAAUUAAAGAGCUGAGAAAAAUUUACUUUAAAAUAUAUAUAUUUUCUUUUACUUUUUAAAUUUCACUUAACAAAAAAAGGUAAAAACUAAAAACUAAAACCGAAAAUCUGUUCUUCAUCCUCCCAUCGCUGCCCUCCUGCUUCUCUCACACUUCAACAAGGUUAGUUUCUUGCUCUUCUUCAAUUUUUCACUCAAUUUUCGAAUUUGAAAUCAUGAACCCGUAUAUGGGAAUUUCAAUUGGGUUUGUGUUAAUUUUUAUUUCGAAACUACUGGAACAAAUCUGUUACAAUUGGUUUUCCUUCUCUUUGUCUGGUUAAUAUGAUUUCAAAUCCGAAAAUUUAGUGAAAAACUGAAGAAGAGCAAGAAACUAACAUUGUUGAAGUGCGAGGGAAUGAAUUGCUCCGAAUUUUCGCUCGUGACGCUGGAGUUAGAGUUGUUGUGGCUGUAGUAAUGGGAGGAAGCAGGAGGGCAGUGACGGGAGGAAGAAGAAUAGAUUUUGGAGUUUUUUUUUUUUUUUUUUUUGUGGAGAAAAGACGAUGUCAUUGAGAAUAAAGCAAAGGUUACAUUCUAUCCUCCGCCAAAACAUCACACACAGCAUCAGGAGGGUCCUGAAGCCACGAUAAUGUUUCUGGUAAAGUAAGUGCCAAACGAGCUAAGCGGUACGCCGCUCGGAUAGAUUGUGGGGUUUUAGUUUUUAGUUUUUACCUUUUUUUUGUUAAGUGAAAUUUAAAAAGUAAAAGAAAAAAGAUAUUUGAAAGUAAAUUUUUCUCAGCCUUUAGAUUGACCACAAAUCUUUUGGACUACUGUAAUCCAAAAGAACGAGACUGAUAAAAUGAAAAUAAUGUUCUACAACUAGUGUUCAAACGGGAAUGAUCUUAAUCAUUAACUAGAAAACUAUUUUUUGUAUGAAAAUUCAGACACCAAAUUUUUAUCAAGUCGUUUACUCUUGUAACUUUUGGUUUUGACUAAAUUUGCAUAAGAUGUGGAGCGCAAGUGCAGGUAUUUUAUUUUGAAAAAUCUUCUUGACUUUUUCAAAUAAGCUAAGCUAGCUAGCUUCCUAUCUAGGGUAUCAAAUCCCACGUUCAUUGCGAAUGGCAGGUUUCACGGGAUAGGAAAGAACUAGCUUUCCCUCUCAUAGACUCAUACCAUUUGUGUUUUGGUUGUAUAACUGAAGCAUCCUCCUUCCCUUUAACCUUCACCAAGGAUGAAGAGAAAACAAACAAGUCACGAGAAAGUAGAACGAAGAGCCAAAAUUUUCCUUUCCUUUUUGUGUAUUUAUUGGGGUAAGAGAUAUUAAAUUUGUGUGUGCUCAAAAGUUAAAAGAGGACAGACUAGGAGGUUUUGAAGGGCAGUUGAGAAAAUGAUAGUGAUAAAGAAGUGGUAGCUACACCAUGAAUGCAUGUUUUGUGAUGUGACAUAUCUAUCUUUUUCUUCUUCGUUUUUUCAAUCUCGCUUAAAAGAAAUGUCACUAAACAAAUGAUUAGUUGGCGAAAUAUGUUUGUUAUUCAUUGUCAUAUUUUCAUCAAAUAUUUAGAAUUUGAUGUCUUUUGUUAAAUUAUUUUUCAUCAAAAAAAUACAGUUACAAAACCGAUAUACAAAAGUGGUCUCGUUAAAACUUUCUUAAAGAAAAUUCAAUAAAAAAAAGUACCACACAUAUCAUUACAAUGAAGCCAACACACAACUAUUCGGCGGUGUUGUUGCCUUGUUAAAGUAUUUAAUGGUAUGUAUAUGAUGUGUUGUUCAAAUGCGAAUUUACAAAUGAAGUUAUCAAUAAUAAAAAGUACUUAGUUUACUUGUCAUAUUUUAUUUAGGGAUAAAAACGUGCAUAUGUAUUUUAUAUAUUUUUAAUGAGUUAUUCAUAGUAUUUCUCACCAGCCAUAAGUAUAUACUAAAUCAAAGAAGUGAUUGAUUGAACUUGUAUUUUACUCAAAUUGCAGCACUUUUCCCCGUCCACUUUGGCUUUUAACAGCCUCAUUAAUAAUUAAGAACAUCGGAUUGGUUGUUUUUAUUGUAGUUAAUCAUGAUCUUCGUCCAUGAUUAUAUACCAAAGCCCCCCACUAGCAAUUUGACAAAUAGAUGACAGCUGAGCUAACUUAUCUAAUGUCAUGUGGGAACAUUGCAAAUUGCCACCAGAAAGAUUUAAUAAUAAUAAUAUAUGGUUGUUUUGUUGUUGGCAACGACUUUGCUUGAGAUUUCGAAACGGCUACCGAUUUCUUUGAAGUUGUUUAAUUUUGUGUAUCAGUCAAGAGUCUCAAGUUUUAGAGUAAGAAUGUAGAAGAAGGGCCACUAUAAAGAAAAGUUGAAGAACAAAAUGCCUCCACAUCCACAUGCCAUACAAUAACUCAUAAGUCCCAUGUAAACAUACGUACCUUCCCCAGGUCCCAACUGACAAAGGUCUCCAUCUCCACGUUUUUGUUUUUGGGAUUUUGUCUAGGUUAGUCACACACUUAUUUUCUAUGUGUGAGCGAUUUCUGAUCGUAAUAAGUUCACAUAUAUGUACAAAGAAAAAUUAAUUAUAUACGUAGAUAACCGUAACUCUAAAGAACAUAUAUAAAUCGUAUAUUCAAUCAUUAUUUUUCCUUUUUUCAUACUUUUUUUCAUGGUAGGAAGAAAAUCUCACUACUCAUGUCAAAAGUUAUGAAAUAAAUCACAUGCGGAUCACAUACUUAUUAUACAAAGUCGAAUUUUGUACAUGCACAAAUCCAAUUUAAGAUAAUGUUUUGUAAUUCCAACUUCAGAUAUUUGAAUUUAUAGGUUAUCUUUUUUAUCUAUAUAUAUAAAGUAAAAAACAUAAAACUGUGAAAUAUUUAAAAUAUCAGAAAAUACUCAUUAUUUUUUUUAAUACUAAAAUAAAUUAAAUUUUUUAUAAAAAAGAGUCUCUCGCAAAUGCAGAAACACGUGCAGAGAGACGAGAGGCUAAUAUUUAGGUAUUUCUCAUGCACUCUCUUGUACAAGGUAUGGCAGAGGAAUAAGAUUUUUUAUAUGUCCUUUGCCUUGGCUGAUUGGAUAGUUGCAUGGCUCACACAUCUCUGAGGUCCCUUUCACCCUUUUGGUCUGUUUUGCCAAUUCCCAAUAACAUCAUUCACACAAGAUUCUUGCUCUUUUUUCUACAUUAUUUUAUUGCUCUUCUUGAAUCAUCUUCCUCUUCCUCUUUUUUUUCCUUUUUUCUGUUGUUGAUAAAUUUGUUGUUAUUAUUACCUUUACAAACUCAUUAGUUUUAUUUAUUAAAAUAUGAUAUUCUUUGUUGUCAUGAUGGUGAUGGGUUGGCAUGCUCGCAGGAAUUCUGGCUUUUCUAAAUUUCUUUGACACAUGUUCAUCUUCUUCCUGUGAUGUGUCUUUUGCUUUCUGGGUUGUCCUCAGAAUUCAGAACUCAGAAUUCAGACAGUUACAGUUUAUCAUAAACCGAUUUGGAUUCAGAGUCACAAUUGAACUCUUAUUGAUUUUUCUUUUUCUGUGGAAUUAUUUGUUUGUGGGGAUUCUGUCAGGAAUUCAAUUCCCCAAGGUGAGUUUAUGCAAUUUUUGGCUCAUUUAUGAAAACUCUCUGUAUCUGUGUAUCUCUCUCUCUCUCUCUCUCUCUCUCUCUCUCUUCUUUGUUUUAUAGCAUCAUCUGCAGGUCAUCUGCAGGCUUUGGAAUUACAUGUUGUUUUCUUCUAUCGAAUUGUGGGGUCAAAAAGAGACGACUUUAAUGGUUUCCUGAUUGAAUUUGGAUUGCAGUUCACAUGCGUGCUUUUCUCGGAGCCUUCUGUUUUUGAAUUUCGCAAUUGGGUCAGAGUGAAAAAUUGCUUCUUUCAACCAAUUCAGGAUUAAUUUUGUGAAAAACAGGUAACUUCUCUUUUCAAAAUUUUAUCUGCAAUCCUUAUUGAAUUUGAUUUCUGCUGAGUUUCCUUCUUUCCUUCUAAUUUCUAUAUAUUUAUUGGAUCCUGUAGAUUUUCAUGUCUCACAGUCAUCUUUGAAUUCAACUGGUGCAACAAUUCUUGAUAAGAAACCUUGGAAUUUCGUACGCUACAAAAAUUGCUGCUCUGGUUUUGUGCAAAUUGCUCAUGAUGAUUGUCUCAAUGAGUUUUAUGUGCUUGGGAUGAUUUAAAAUUCUGGGUUUUGUGGUUUGAAUCUUAAAUGGACGUGCCUCCUUAUUGUAAGCACUUCAGAGUAUUCGGUUGCCACUUGAAUUCCUUUGCAUGCAAAUGUGUUGUUUUAGCUUUCAUUGCUCUGAUUCUCAGAGCUGUUCUGCUUCCUACGUUCCAUAAUUUUGGUGGAGCUGAACAGAGCAAGUUGGUCUUCAUCAGUAACCUCUCUUUGUCACUCGGUCAGAAAUUCGGAAUUAGAAAAGAUAAGUUUCUGGAGGUUCCUCAAAUUGUAUGGGGCUUAAACAAUCAAAAGAUUGCGUUUGCAAGAGCUUGUUUAACUGCAAGGUUUCUGAACCGGACUCUUUUGAUGCCCAGCUUGAGUGCUUCCCUGUUCUACAAAGAAGUCGAGCUCUUGGAGCCUAUUUCCUUUGAUAAGGUGUUCCAGUUCAAGAAGUUUAAUUCUCUCUGUAAUGGCUUUGUUCAACUGGGCGAGUUCUCGGAUCUUAGAAACCGAACGGAAGCCUUUGAGCUUCAGAAAGGAAGUGGAAGGAGGUGGACACCUGAGAGAGAUUUGUAUCAGUUGAAACAGCACAAUGAGGAUCCAUAUAAUGAGUUUGAGGUCAUUCGAAUCAUUGGAAAGAACCCGUUUCUGUGGCACGAUCAUUGGCCUGUGAAGGACUAUGCGAAGGUAUUUGAGUGCUUGGUUCUGGUUGAUGAGAUAAUGAAUGAAGUAGAUAAAGUUGUGUCCAGGAUUAGAGAGAUAGGAGCAGCACAAGUAAGAAGCCAGAAUGAGUCUCCACAAAAUGGCAUUAACCGGGCAGAGAAGCCUCUCUUGCAGCCAGUGCCUUAUGUGGCUGUACACAUGAGGAUAGAGAUAGACUGGAUGAUUCAUUGUAAGAAGCUAGAGCAAAGAUCAAACAUAAGUCAAAUUUGUAGCAGCAAGGAGGAGAUCAUGGAGAGAGUGGGCAACAUUGCUGGCCUGAAAACACCGGUCGUUGUUUAUUUAGCUGUGGCUGAUAGUCUUCUUCAUGAUCCAUCUAUAUUGAGUGGCUGGAAGGAAGGCUUGAUUCCUUAUGAGAAGAAGAAAUUGGGGUUUGAAGGGACUUACAAGAAGUUCCCUUAUCUCAUUCAGUCUGCAAUCGACUAUGAAGUGUGUUCAAGGGCUGAUGUCUUUGUGGGAAACAGUUUCUCCACAUUUUCGAACCUUAUAGUUCUCGAUCGAACGCAGAAGCUCAUUAGAAUGGGCGUCACAAGCUCUUGUGGUGUGGAUGUAAGGUGGCCUUCUUAUGCAUACAACAUAUUAGGGGAAGCAAAAGGCCCUCAAAGAUGGAUGACAAACAUGUCUGGCUCAAGUCUUCAAGCAAUUAGCUAUGGCUCCAAUGACAUUUCGUGUUGUGUUGAUCUUUAGUUUUUCCAUUGGUGGACAUGUUCAAGGCUCCACCACUUCUUGUAAUCUACAUCAUCCCGUCCCUCCAGCGCAAUAUUUUCGGUAUAGUUUCAAAGUUCUUUUUCCCCUUUAUAGAGAACGUUAAAAUAGCUGUUGAAUGGAUGUAAAUUUCUUAUUUUUUAUUUCAAAUGUAAGUUCCAUUCUAUUGGUUUUUUCAUCUUGAUGGCAAUGGCAUUUUUUUUUUUCCUCUCCGGGUUGGAUUUUCUCACUAUUUGUUAGUGAAUGUUACUAUUCUCUUGGCAUGAAUUCUUGUAGGAUAUUGAUGUUAUUGUGUUUGUAAAACAAGAGCAUGCCCUCAUAAAAAUUUGAUAGGAAAUGGGGUUUUUUUUAUGUUGCUCAUCCAAACACAAGCUUUCUAACCACUUUUUCCUUCUCUGUAUCUCUCUGCACCUGUUUUCUUUCCAUAAUUGAAGGAUGAUGGUACAGAUGACCAAAACAAACAGAUAAAGACAGAAGGAAAUGGAAUGGGACAGUCUUUAGCACAAGCAAGGAAUUAAGUUAUUUGGUACUUGAUUUUUGAUUCUUGUGGUGGGUCAUGUCCUUGGCUCUCAACUUUGAGCUUUUUUGGCCCAUCAUCUGUGUGUAUUUAUUUGACUUACUGAAAAUUCUCGCUCAUUAUGUUUCUUUGCUUCCCCAGUGGGACCUCAAUGCUGGGUUUUGGCUGUUUUUUCUUUGUUGAUUAGCCCUCAAAACUUCAGACAUCAAGAUCUGUAAAGGGGUCAAUCUAAUUUGCAAUUUUCUUUGAAUUAGUCAAGUUUUUGGGCAUUUUAGGCACUAUUGCUUUAUACAGGGCAACUUCAAAGUUCAAAUUUUGGCUUUAAAGGCCAAAACUUGAGACCCUGUGAGGCUUUGAGAAAAAAGUUUAGGGACUCUGGAUCAAAGUUGUAAUCUUUAUGCAUUAAUUGGCUAACUGGCCAUUGGAAAGCUUAAAUUGGACAACUUAUCAGCUGCAUGGUACUUGUUUCUAUUUCUAUUGCAGAAAACACAACAGAACAGAUGAUCUUCUCCAAUACUAAUUAAGGACCUUUCUGAAUUUCAUCUAUAAAUAUCCAAUGGUGAAACGAAAAGCAAAAGGUGUUUUGCAUGGGCCAAAAUGGGCCAAAUCCAAUUAUUGGAGCAAGAUAUGAGUCGGCCUGUGGGUUCAAGUUGGUCCAACCAAAGUGAGCAAAGAAACUCCCAAUGACCUCAAUGAUCCAAAAUUUAUAAAGUGCUUGAACCUUGGUAGGGAUUCAAAAUUUCUCUAGAUGUUGUGGUGAAAAUAUAUUAGGGAGAAAAAGUUGCAGAUGGGUCCCAAACAUACCCAACAAACUCAUUUUCAUGUCAACUUGUAGGUUUGAUAUAAUUGAAGCCACUCACUCUUGCACGAAAUUUCCAUUUAACAUCUGGAAGGGGUUUGAUUGAAGCCACCCUACUAAUAGCUACCCCUUAUCCAAAAUGAGACGUGUCCUGUAAACACUUCACAAAACCAAACAACACAUUCACUACUACAACAAUCACAAUAAUGACUUGUUCCUGUUGUUAAUGGUGGUGGGUGAGUUUGGUAUCUUUCCCAUUUACUUAUAAUGGGAAGCAAGAACCAAGAUGGGACAACUAAGCUCAAUGCAUUGUCAUGAAAAAGAAAACUAAUAAAAACAACCAUAUUUUUGGCGACUUUUAAAUGAUUGAAGGGGAGAAUCAACUCUUACUUUGAUGAGUAUUUACAGUGUUUCCCAUCUCAGAGAGAGAGAGAGAGAGAGAGAGAGGGAGAGAGAGCGUAUAAAAUGGAAAUACAUUUAUGGCAUUUUAAUUCACUAACAUGAUAAAUGUUCUUUCAAUUCAAUUCACUAUCUUUUUUUCUUUCUUUUCCUCUGUCCUUCAAGAAGAAAGCGAUCAUCAAGAAUAGAUGCUUCCCCUUCUAUGGUACACACAAGGGACCUUGAUGGUCACAAGGUUUAUCUUAACACAAUGAUCAUGAAACUACAAAGGAAAAGAGGUACAUUAUCUUCAUGAUCAUGAAAUUGGAGUGAAUAGAGCGAGGAACUCUUUACUCUUUCUUAUGCGAAAAGUAUUGGUGGGAAGCUAUGCAGGUUAUUUUCCAACUUCAGAAGUCCUAUAAUUCAUUGGAUGUAUUCUUCAUAGUAGUUAUCACUUAUCACAGAAACGAACCUCUCGAGCCAAGGAAGCUGAUGGAGAUCUUUCAUUGCAUCUACGUAGGAAUCUGUACAACGGGGUGGGGAUUGGUAGGGGGGGUGGUCACUUAAACUGAAACCCCCAGCUAGGAACCUCUGGAUCAGUGCCAACUGUGAUCUCUCUUGGUCUGAGUAUGCGUCCAUUAUCAUGGGGAGCGAAUUGAAUGUUUCCCAUGCCCAUUGCUCAGAUUCUUGCAUAGACUGAGUGACCAAGUCUUCUGUGUUGUUGUUGUCUUCAUCCCAAAAGGCACAUUGACAAGUCUGUUGGCCAUUCCUAUAUUCAGCACCACAAGAAUAACAGAACUCAUGCCUACACCUGAACAUGAGCAACAUGAAAAGCUCAGUAAAGAUUCAAGAGCUUCUAAUGAAAAGUAGACUUAACAUGGUGAACAUAACAUGCUUCUGUAUUGAACAUGUGCAAAUGUAUAACAGACAUAAGCAUUACAAACAAAGGUGAUUAAACUUAAAUUUUACUCACAGAACAUCAUAUGCUCCUUGUUUACAUGUGCAUAUGCAUAACAGAUGAAAGCAUCACAACCAAAGGUGAAACUACAGAACAUUUUGUUAUUCAAAUAGUCAGGUUAUGAUUCAAUAAAACCAAUUAAAGCUGUCUUAAUUCAAUCAGCUUUAAUCAUAGUCAGGUACUACUUUCUCCUAGAGGUUCUCCUACACACAUUUUGCCCUCUGCAUAGGGUGACACCAUUUUGUCCAAGCGAGUAUAAAAAAUUGUAUUUUGAAAAAAUUUCUCAAACAAAAAUGAAGCCUGAGAUCUGAAAUGAUUAAGUAGUUUCCAUCUACAACAGUAUGUGUAAUGAAACCGAUCUUACCAGCAUGUCAUGUGGUAGCAACCUUGAGUGAGCUCGAUCAUCCUACGACACUGCUGGCAACGUCUCCAGCUUUUAUUUUGUGCUAGGCGAUGUAAGGUAAUGUCUGCAGCAUCUCUCUCUUCCAAUGGGAGGUUUUGGAACUCCUCACAGCUCAUAGAUGAAUGCCAAGGAACCCCACAAUCUACACAGAUGAAUCUCUGACAAACUGGACAGUCAAUGCAGCUGUUAUCUGACUGACUUGAUGAACUUGCCCUAGCUGACAAACAUUCAAGAGGAUCAAGCAGGACAGAACAAUUUGGAUAUGGGCAGUAAAUUCUAUCUGAGUGGAGAAUAUUUGCCUCUGCGAGGGCUUUCUCCAAUGAUUCAUAAGAAGUGAGUGGAAGAAAAGAUUUGCACUCAGCAGUGGAGACGUAAUACUUGCACCUCGGCUGAGGACAUCUGAUGGGGACUUGCGAGGACUGCACCUUCCCAUCAACGUAUGUCCUCAUGCAAUGCGAACAGAACUUAUGAGAACAUUUCAUGGUGAUCAUCAUUAGGGAUGGUUUAUCGUCGCAACAGAUGGAACAGUUUUCAAGUGAUUCAACACCCUUAGCAGGAAAAGAGACAACUCCAAUUGCCACUUGAGCUAAUUUUGAUGGCAGCUCAAGAUCUACAGUGGGGACAAGUUUCAGAACAAAAGCAUCAAGAUGACUGGCAUGCUCUAGGAUCCUUUGCCUCAGCGCUACUAGGAGUGGAAUUUCAAGUUUCUGCUCAUGUGAUACCUGUCAAAAACUCAUGUCAUUAAAGCAAACUUGACAUGCAAGAAGACAAUUUGAAUAAUUUAAUGCUAGUGCUACAACUCAAAUGAAGUAAGGUGAAAUAAAACUCGGUAGCAAUCAUUCAAAGUGUAUUGCUGAAAGUUAAAAGGUUUUAUCCAUCACUCAAACCUAUAAAAUUGUGUUGUUAAAAAUAAUGUUGACCCCUUUUUUCGUCAAUAAAUUCAUGCGGUCACAAACGCUGAAAUUGCAAUGAAUAAUUUGGCAAGGAACUUGUGAAAAUCAGCCACCCAAAAAUCAAGGCUAGCAGAAUUAUUGGCUUCAUAUUUAAAACGUCUUCUAAAGUGGUAACCAAAAUGAACAAAGAAAGUUAACUAUUUCACAGAGAAGGACUCACCUGAUCAUAUAGCAGCUCAGAAUCUGUGAAUGCAUAAACCCGGCGGACUUUAUUUUGCACAGCUUCCAUUAGGCCAUCCAUCAGGGCUAAAUAGUUAGCCACAGGCUCCUCCACAUAAAAAUCAAGCCUUUUCUGCACCUGAAGUGCAGGAACAUUGGUUGACCUUUCCAUGACAACUCCAAUUCCAGAAAGCCCGAAACCUGAGUCCCCAUACCCAGCUAUGGACAUGCCUUUGAAGAACAUCUUCACUGAAAAUUCAUCGAGAUCAUCUUUUGGAUCCACCUUCACCGGUUCUUCGGUCUCCUUCCAAACUUCAUCAUCUUCGCAACAACUACGAAACUCUUCUUCAUCUUCCUCUCUGAGUAAAUUUACAGAAACCUCAUCACCAAAACUUGCCUGACCCUCCAUUUACACAACAGCUCUGGAAUUCUAAAACUUGAAGCUGUGAUUGUUACCAAAAUCCAACCACAAUUUGUCAACCAAACAAUCCGAAGCUCUGUAAUUUCAGCAGUCAAAUCUCUCAAAAUCACAAACAACAAUUCAUUUCAAUCACUGAUCUUUCAGAGCCUAUCUCCAAAUCAUCAUACAAAAAAAAAACCCUCCAAGGAAUCGAUCCAGAACUGCAGCCAAUUGUAGCAUCACCUCCACCUAUAAAUACCACAAAGAAAUACUGAUCUCAGACAGUAAUCAUUCCGCUCCUAAAUCCAAAUCGAUAAACAAGAAAACCCCAUCAACGAAUUCAUCCAAAUGAGCCAAAAAUCCGUGCUUUACCUUAUAUAUUCCCCAAAUCCCAAAAGAUACAUAAUUGUUAGCUCUUUCACAUAAACAAAAAUCAACCCAAAAUAGAAAGAGAGAGGACUAAUUUUCAUCCCUCCAAAACUGUACAAAAUUUCAAAGCAAUUUUUUGAAACAACAAUGAAGAAAAGAAAAAGAUAAGAUACAAAAAUAGGAAAGGGUAUCAUAUUGGAAGGGUAACUGGGAAAGAACGAAGUACAGGUUCCAUUACCUUAUCCGGAGGGAACUAAAGUCUCCGGAAUCAGAUUCCUGUUGGGGUCUGAAAUCUGAAAUGGUGUCUUGUAAUUGUAGCAAAAUGGUAGAAUAAUAAGAACCCUAAUCUGACAAAUUUCAACCUUUGGUGCCUCACCCACUUACAAGAUGCUGUUUUUAUUCUAUUCUUUUACUGGGAUUAGAUGAAAGAUGAAAGAUUUUAUUACUUAUUAGGAUGGUGAGAGCUGAGAAGAGAAUCCUUAGACUUACUAUUGCAGUUAUUGGCGUUUGAGGAAAGUUAGAAUGCCUUUGGCCUUUUGCUUUGUUGGCAUUCUCUCUCUUCCGGAACACAUGCACCUUGGAUUUCUUCAAUUCUCUACAUUCCCUUUUAUUUUCUCCAUAUUUACCCAAAAAAUACAAAAUAUCCUUGAUUUUUUUUUUUAAUAUUUGCAUACACUUAUUAAAUGCAAGAUUCCCUUUUUUUUAAUAAUUACGUUUUUUUAAGUAUGUACUUAAUUUUCUCACUAGAUUAAUUUUCUCAAUAUAAUCUAGUGGUAUUUGUCUUCAAUUAAUUAAAGGAAGUCUCAAUUUCAACUCACAUGGGGACACAUUCUUCAAUUCUCUACAUUCUCUUUUAUUUUCUCCAUAUUUACCAAAGAUGAUACAAAAUAUAUCCUUGAUUUUAUUAUAUUUGCAUACACUUAUUAAAUCAAGAUUCCGUUUUUUCAUAUGAUAAAAUUAUAUUAUUUUAAGUUUGUACUUAAUUUUCUCAAUAUAAUAUAGUGGUAUUUGUCAUCGGUUGGUUAAAGAAAGUCUCAAGUUUAUAUAAAUCUUAUAUAUAAAUCUUAAACUUGCCUGGAUACAUAUAUAUAUAUCUUAAACACUAAAAUCAACGUCAUUUUAUCAUAAACAUAAGUAUUAACAUGCAAAAACAUAACGAAAACCCUCUUUCCAUUCAACACGCCACUCCAACCUCCUACGCCACUUGAGCUACUCCCAAUCCCAAAGGUUUUGUGUAUGUAGCAUAUUUGACAAAAUGUGCCGUGUGAUUAGGGAAAGUAGAAAGGUGAAAAUGGGAGGGAAAAAAAACAUAGAGAGAAGAUGAUAGAGGAGAGUAAAUAAAAUGGAGGGAGAUGAGACCCCUCCAAACCAGGAUCACAAAGUCCAAUUUGUCUUCUUUUGGAUUGAUUGAUGGACAUCUUACACCGUUCUUUUCCCUUGAUCGUUUUCUCAUGUUUAAACCUCUCUUUCCUUCCAUUUUCCCAUCCUUCUUCUUAUUAAACAGUUUUAGUUGUAGAAUUAAAACAGUAUAAGCAUUAUUUAGCUGGAAUGUUCAAGUGUUGCAUAUAUUUCACUAAUUGUUCAGAGCAUUACUGUAUGAAAUGUGACUCAAUGGAACUUGGUAGAAAAAUAAACGCAUUAAGACAAAACCCCUAAGAUUCUCAGCCAGAAAACUGGGUUGGAGUUGGAGAAACCUAUGCAGUUUGCACAUGGUGUUUGUCUAUUUUGCUGAAGAAAAUGUGACUUUGUUCUUGACUUUUUUCAGCUUCCUGACAAUCAGUUAUAUAUAUAUAUUAUUAGAGUUAAACAAUCCCUGUAAAAGUGGAUUAAAAAAAUGAGAAUUUAAUGAUUACCAACCCUAUCUUCUUAUAUUUGAUUUGUGAAAUUGACUUCCAAGUUCCAAGCAUGUUUUUUUGUUUACCCAUUUCUUUUGACUGAGAUUGGAAAUUUAAACCCCUCUCCCAGUCAUCAUCAGUCUGUAGCCAGCUCAAAUCUGGAAACUAGAUCCAUAUAUGCAAGGGAGGAAUUAGGAAUUUUUUAACGAAUGGGUUAGUUAAAAUUAUUAGCUUAAAAUUUAAUGAUUAUUUUUUUUUUGGUACUUACAAUUUCUAUAGUCUUUCUAGAAAUAAAAGUAAACAAUAAAUCAUAUAAACCAAAUUAGUUCAUAGCUUCAUAGACUAAUUUUCAAUAAGUUUUAACAUAAACUAAAUAGGUUUAACUCCAUAGUGGAUUGAACAUCUAAGGCUCUUUACCUAGAUUGACCUUAGGUUCUUUCAUGCAUUCAUAUCAUAUAUGAAAAGUUGUUUUAUGUAAAAAUAUUGACCAAGUAUGAAAAAUGGGUUUUCAAAAUAAUCAUUUCCUCAAAAUAAUUUUUUGCGGCUUUUAUUCUUCACACAUCAAAUAAGAAAACUUGAUUUUAUGGGAUUUUAGUUUGAAGUAUAUAUUGACUUAAUGAGCCAUCAUUUUUAGCCUAAAUCGUAUUUUGCACUAAAAUCGAUUUUUUAUAUUUUGAUUUGGUGGGAAUUUGAUUUUCUAAUAUUUUUAUUUGAAUCCAAAUGGGAGAUACUUCCUUAUUUACAUUUUAAACUUAAGUAACUGUAAAUAUAUAAAUUUUAUAUACUUUUUUCUUAAAAAAUCAUACUGGGCUACAGCCCACUGUAGCCCUUAAUGUGGUUCCGCCCUUACAUAUAUGACUUAACUUUAAAAACCCAGGAGUUAAUUAACAAAAGUUUAAUGACUAAUUUAACAAAUCUGGAAACUAUUUACCACAAAAUUCAAAUGGUGGCAAUGUGAAUGCAAUGUACCUCUUUGCAGUUUGUACCUAAUCGCUUUUCUUGCACAGCUUUACACUUUACAGGUUGACAAUCAAUCAUCAAUCAUGCUAUUAAAAAAAUCAUCAUGUUGCUUAUAGAGUUUGGUUUAAGGUGGGGUACUCUUUACCUAUAGAGGAAAGGGACUUGACUCUAUGAUUGCCUUCAAAUAGUGACUUGCUCAAAAACGAUGUGUCGUUACAUUUAAGUAAGGAGGGUCACGAAAAAAGAAGAAGAAGAAACUAACUCAUUUAUAAUAGAGAAAUAUUCAUAAAUUAUGACAUUGGUGAUUCAUGGUAUAAUAAAACGUUGUCAAAUUGUCAAUUUAAAGAAAUGAAGGUAAUUAUUGUUUAAAUGUAUUUUUUUUUUACCAAUAAAAAAGUGUACAUAUUUAAAAUUUACCGUCUAAUUUGGUAACGUAACAUUUUUAGAUUUAAAAAAAAAAAAGAGAAUAUUAAUGAAUAAUUAAGAAUAUGCUCUAAGAAGACAUCAAAUGAAAUAUAAUACUCAAGUUGGAUUAAAUUAUGGACGGUUCAAUUUUGUUUUCUCUUUUUGGAAAAUAUUAGUUCCAAAGUGACAAACCCUUUUGUUAAUAAAAGUUCCAUGAAGUAGGAAUUAGUCGUGUCCAUGAGGAAGAGGAAUCAAAGCAGUCAACUGCGGUGCAUAGUGUAUGACUUGUCUUUAGGCUUAAUGUUCAUCCAUUCUAUGCUCAUCAUUUGUCCUGCAAUUUUAUUCUGUCAAAAAUGGGUCCUUUAAGUUUUGACUGGUGCAACAAAACGACAAGCAGCUGGUAGAGAUUGGAACUUUCGGUGUUCCAAACGUGGCACUAUGUUCUAGUUGACUUAUUAGCUUUUAUUUUUUUGUUUUUGUUUUUUUUUUUUUUUAAUGACACCUAACUCAAUGGAAAAUAUCCUUAACUUGCAGACAAAAGAUCUCAAGUUCGAACCCCCUCACUUGUAUUUUUUAAAAAAAUUAUUUUGAUUUUUUCCCAUUUACAUUUUCAAGCACAUUCUAUAAAGUUAAAAGGUAAAACUAAAUUUACACUUCUUUUGGAUGAGUCCAAUUUUCCUGUUACUAUUUUCCAUGUGGCCCUUAUUACUUAUCUAAACUCUGAAACAUGUCCCUACACUUGACCUCUAAGUUAACAAUGUUAACUUUUAAUAAAAUUAAAAGUAAAGACAAAAACAAAAACAAAUUAUUAAACAGCCACCAAAGCUUUGCACCCACUCAACCCCUACCGCCGACAACUCCUCACUUUCUCUCCGGCAGUGGCAGAGCUACUUCUAGGCCUGGAGUGGCCUUGGCCCCCCCAAUUUUUUUUUUAAUCUCUCCUCUAUUAUAUUAUAUAUAACAUAUAGAAUUUGUAAUAAACCACUUAUAAUUUAAGUUAAAGUUCCCUCUAAAACAAAUUAGACAUGACUAAAUUAGAAAUAUUUAGUUCUAAAUAUGUAAUUAUUGAAUACUUAGAUAUUUUAUAUACUUGUAUUUUCUACUUCGACCCGCCUAACUUUACAAUUCUAGCUACACCCUUGCCCCAGUCAUGCUUGCCGGAAACAAAUCUUUUUUCUUUCUCUCUCGCCACUUUUAUCAUUUUGCUCCCCAAACCCAAAACCCCAACAACAUAGUUAAGAUCGGGUUUAGAAUAGAAUAGUUGUGAACAUGUCUUCCAAAUCCAAAACCCCAUCAUUCCAUUUUCCAACUUAGAGUCAAUCUCAGCCAAGGGAAGAGCCAACAUAUAAGAUGCACAUUUGGGGGCUUCGGUAGCUGUUUUGUUGCGUCGUUUGAUUUUUCUUUAACAAUUUAUUUUUGUUUUUGUUUGUAAUUUUAUUAAAAAGUUAACAAUAUAGGGAUAUGUAAGAGUUUAGAUAAGUACCAGGAAGGCACAGGGGAAAUGAUAACAGGAAAAUUGAACAUCUUUUAGAUGUGCCACCAUGAUGAAGGAAGUAAUACAAGCGAGUAAAUAGUAUUUAUUUUCCCUUAUAUUUUUUUAAAAAAUGGUUCAAAGAAGAAUGCUACAAAAAGAAAAAGAAAAAAGUUUCUUAAUCCUCUCUAUUCCCUUAUAUUUAUAAAAUACUUUUAUAACGGGCCAACAGACUCUCAACAAAAAGAUAGAAAUUUAUCUUUAUGAAUUAUGCAUAGCAUUUAUACGAUUUUACGUCAUUUCUAUCGGGCCUGAAUUUUAAGGGUGUUGGGUUAUCCAGAACCCAAAAUCUACUGUUCCUGCAAUUCUAGGGUUUUUCUUUAGCAUCCAAUAGGCUGUGGCUUUGGGCCUAAUUUCCUAAUCCAUGGAAAACCCAUGAGAAAUUGAGAAAGCAAAACCACCGUGCAAAAGUUUGAAUAAACUUCUCCUUUUCUUGCAUAUUUCAAUUUCCUUUUGUUUCUUUAUCUGCUCAUGAAACUUGAAACAAGGAAGUUUGGCUAUUUAUAGCACUUGAGGGAAUCACAAUACAAAAGUGACAACACAAAAAGAUCGACCUGUGGAAACAUAUAACGAUCAUAAACCUGAAACUAGAGGAAAUCAAAACACAUAUUAUAAGUGCAAUAUAUAACAUCGCUUUUCAGAUCAUGGCAUCAAUAAUUUAUUGGUCUUAUAAUUAAGCCCAUUUUGCCAAUACAGACAUGCCACCUGCACCCAAAAGGACCGCCAUGUAAGAUUUGAUCUGGAGCUUGAUGCUACGCUGCAACUUUGGACCCAUGAAGUCAGCAGCAAGAAGAUCAACCAGAGCCAUGUAGAUAAGAAGGCCAGCUGAGGAUGCAUUGAGCAGCCCUACUGUGAUUAGCGACCUUGGACUAUUUUCUUUGUAUGAUUUUGUAAGGGCCAUUCCGAUUGCAAUUCCGAAUGGGGUUGUUGUUGAGAAGAAGAACACCAUGAUUGCCUUCUUCAUGAACUUGUACUCGGCCUGCAUUAAAUUAUAUUUGUUCAUGAGCUAAUUGAAGUUUGAUCAGUCAUUAAGUAUAUAUUAAUGGAAUAUAUAUACCUGGAGAAUGCAACCACCAAGACCCAUGCCUUCAAACAUUUGAUGGAAGCAAAGGGCAGCUACAAGACCUUUAAUUGUGCAAGUGUUGUUUGAUGCUCCAAGAGAAAGCCCAAUAACAACUGAGUGAACAAUGAUACCCAGUUCUAAUACCUGCAACAAUACACAAGUAAUUAUAUUUAUCCAUGUACUAUGUUAUCUAACUGUCAAUCUGGUCAACUACACGUUGAAUCGAAAAUUCACCUCAUCUAUAGUUCUGAUUAACAUUUUCGACACAAUAGGUUACAACAACGCAUAACAAAAUUCAGGAAAAAUAAAUUUUCACUUCACUAAUGAUUUAAGUUAACAAUAUAUAUGGCGUGUCAGACUGUCAAAUAAGAUAAAAAAUUUAUUUCUCACCAUGGCAACAACGCGAUAACGGGGAAGCUGUGAGUCUUCAUUUCCUCCCUUGACUAUGUCAUGACUGUGAGCAUGAAAAUGACCAUGCCCAGCACCCACUGCAGCCAUCUCUUGGUCCACCUCAACGGCUGCAACCGUCCCAUUAUCUGGGAUAACUCCAGUUCUGCAUCUCUUGCUAUAAAUACUAGUGGCCAUAGAAUCCACCAUCAAAGUCACAAUUGCAGAGAGCAUAGCCACAAACCCUGAGAAAGGAAACUUGUGCCACGGGUUUUCUUUCAAACAGUUGGAUGAUAACAUGUCAAAAGAAUCAGGCAAGACGUGCAUGAACCCCGUGGCAAGGAUGAUGCCGGCUGCAAAGCACUUGACAAUCACAAACAGGUUUCGAUCGGGGUGCAACGCGGGUAUCGAACGAGUAACAAGAGGCAAGGACACCCCGAUCAUGCUCGUGACCAAAAUUGUGGUGAUGGCUAUGACUUUGAGCGGCACAGCUCCAGACUUGUCAUUGCAGGAGUUGGUUUCUGAGCCGCAUUCAUCAGACUCUGAAUGGACUUGGGGAGUGAGAAUGGAGAUGAAGAUGAUGAAGAUAAUUGGGGUGAGCUUCAAAUGUGACUUGGUGGCCAUUUUUUUACUCUGACUUUAGCUCACUCAAAUAAGUUUUGGGCUCAAUGAUUUGGAGUGACCUUGGAUCUUGUUUAUAUAGAGGGGUCUGAGAUUGAGCAAUCAAUAGUGCCAUGAUGCGAACAGAAUAAAUAAAUAAAUAAGCUGAUUAAUAUUGUUUUAAACGAUAAUUUAUUGUUUUAUACCAACUUGACAAAAGAAAAAGCUCUGUUGAUGUGUUCAACGAUAAAGUUUUUGCUACCUUCUCAAAAGAAAAUUCAGUCUAUUGGAGAAUUGACAUACGUAACAGUUUUAUUCUUCAUGAAUAUAUUAUGCAAGCAGCCGUACAUGGAGCUGGUACAGUUGGAUAAGGCUUCCAACAUUCCAGUUUAAUUUCUCAGGUCAACCAAUUCUGUGAGAUGCCAAGGGUUCAAUUAUACAUGUGAUAUUGAUUUCCAAGCAUAAUUUUCCAUAUAAUUAGGCUUUCAUCAUCAAAUUAGUUUUUACGUACCAAAUUGAGACGGUUUAAUUUCUAAAUGGAAAAGGUCACUCUCAUUUUUCUUUUUUCUUCAUUCAACACUGUGAACUUUUGAGUUAUACACCAAAUAUGUAUCGUCUGUGUGAUUCGACCACCUUCAACAAAGCGAAGACAAACUUCACCGAAUCAAAGAGUAAUUUGCAUUUGCAAAUUUCUCACUCUUAAUUAGUUGAUGUCACAAAAUUAAUCCUGUAAAUGAUGAUGUCAAACUGAGGAAAAAACAAAACAAAAGAAAAAGUCAAAAGAUACAGAAAGAGGAUUUGUAGGAUAUCUAAUCCAGAAGUAAACGAAGUAUAUUAUGCAUAGAUUCCAUUGUAAGUCGCAUAUAAAUAUUUAGGAUUGUGUUAAGUAAACGGAGGAGGCAUGCUGCAUGCCCUAGUUUGUCAGUGAAUGAGUAGAGCUCGUGGGGGCUUGUGUUUAGGCUUCUUCAAGUACACGUGGCUAAGGCCACCUAAUUGCAAAUGUCAUAAUAGUUUCAUGAUGAAAAUAAAAAUGCCAAAGUUAACCACAAGAUGUGAUGCGGUUGGUAAACUGUCAUCUCCAACUAGCGAGCUACCUAGUGCCUCAAUAGCAAGGGUUCGAAGCCCAUUGGAAGCACUUUGUGGUUAGGAGCAAGUCGAACCCCGAGUGGGCAUUAAUCUCACCCUUCGAAUGUGAGGACACUUGUGAUAUUUACCAAAAAAAAGCCAUAGUUCAUUAAGGUGUAUCAUUUUUUAAGUUAGAUUUCUGAUAAGAUUUGUUGGUUUAUCAUUAUUCUCAUAAGCUCAAGUAUUGAGGGAUGUGAUUUAACACUUGUUUUAUGUUGUAAAAGGAUAUCUUGAUGUACAUUUAUGCUUUUGAAAUCAAAUAAUUUCAUCUGGACAACCAAAUGAUAGGUAUCGAGCACAAGGGAUUUGUAUAGAUGAAGUGGUUAAGAGUGUUUAUCCUUAUACCUAAGGUCAUAGGUUCGAUUCCCCCCUCACCUAAUAUUGCUUUAUAAAAAAAAAUAAAAAAAUAGCUAAUGCCAACUUUUGUACAAUUUAAAGUUUUAUUAGUGAGAUAUAUUUUAGACAUCCUCAUUGUUUAAUAGCUGUACUUCUUCGUACCGUCUGGAAAUGAUUAGUUAGUAAGUCCUUUUCUAUGAGAAAUAGUUUGAUUAGAGGCAUUAGUAAUGCCGAAUUUUUUUUCUUUAGUAAACUCCGAUCGCUUUCUUCAUCUUUAAACAAUAAUCUGUGACUUGGAAAGUCAAAUAUAUGUGGUCUGCAGGGACUGUAAUUUAUUCAUUCUCUCUUUGUAUUCUCUCUAACAAAUGUAAUUAACUUAGUAAUUAAACUAAUAGCCAAUGCUUAUCUUGAUAGAUAGAUAGAGAUAAUGCAAAGUAAACCAUCAAUCAUCUUCACAAAUAUCUUAAAUUAUUUUAUUGAAAUGAUCCGUACUGUAACGUACAUGGCCAAAAACGAAAAGAUGAUAUCAAACCGUUGAAUCAAAUUCAAAAGUAAGACUAAUAGGAAACAAAUAUGGUAAAAGUGAUGUCAAUUGACACUAAUUAGUUUGAUUUUUAUACUAAAGAAAUUCUAAUUCAAUAGCUCUUCAGAAUGUUGGAAGAUGUUCGAAAUUUGAAUCAUGAUUGAGCCUCGAUAAAAAAACAUAAACAAAAAACAUGCAGGCUGCAGCUACUGUACAGUGUGGUUUCCUUUAAGCCCAUUUAGCCACAAGGACGUGCCUACGUCACCUGAGAGGACUGCCACAUAAGCCCACAUAUGAAGUUUGACGCUGCCUUGCAACUGGGGCCUCAUGAAAUCAGAUGAAGCAGGCUCAGCCCAAAUUGGUCCAAACUGCAAAGGCUUUGUUGGGGAUGGACCGAGCCGGCAAAUUGAGUUCAAAAUAUCCCCUUACUUUUCAUUUCCACGCAUGUUCAUAAACUAGGUGAAGCUAAAUUCUUUUUCUUCUUCAAAAUCCGUAGAGUUAUUUUCACAUUACAUUGUAACCAUUCUCUAAAAGAUACUGCUUGCCUCUUUUUCUGUAAAGAGAUAUUCGUCCUUCAUAUGAAUCACAGUUUGAUACAUAUGCAAAAAUAAUUGAUCAAAAACACAAAAUGAAAAACUUAUGCACACAUGUCACACUGCUAUUAACAGGAAUGCAAAAUCUCCUACCUACACGGUAAAGAGGAAAGUAUUUUCAUUCUCUAAAAAACCUACGAGAAAUAAAUAAUUCCUAACCUAAAAGUUAGAACACUUACUUGUACCAAAAGCAAAUAAAAAAUGUCUACAUUUUUUGAACUCUCUCUUCCCCACCAAGGAAAAACUAUGUGCCACUAAAAUUUCCCUACUUUUUUUUGUUGUGGUUUUUCUUUCUUUCUUUUGCAUAUUAAAAUCUUCCCAUGUAGGGUAGUUGAGUUAUGGUAUGAGCACUUCUAACAUGAAGGUUCAAAUCAAAAGCAAAGAGUGCUGCCACCAAAGACACAAUCAUUCAAGUUAAAGAUGAGAUUUGGUCAUCUGCACUGACUAUAUAUACCCUAAUCACAUGCAACUCUUCUUUUCUCUCUGUCCAAAUAUCAUAUAAUUCAAGUACCCCACAAACAACAGUGAGGGUUUCUUCUUGCUUUGCUUGUUUAUUUUAAUACCUUUUCCAACAGCUCACAUUGUCAUUGGGUUUUGAUAAGCGUGAAGCAAAUGAUCACUAGCAUAUUACCGUUGGCUUUUGGAAUUGCAGGGAUACUGUUUCUCCCACUAAGCCUUUUAAAUUGAACACAUGGCAGAGUCAUUAAGCAUUAAAUAAAAAAAUCUCCCCUUUCUAAUCUCUCUCUAAAAAGUUGUCAUGCACACAUAAUUGUUGGCCCCAUUUUUAUAAAGAAAAAUGUGUUGGAGAAGAAAGGAAGCAUCCAUUAAAUCUAAAGACGAUGGACCACAUUUAGCAGGUGGACAAAAAAGUCAAUUCAAAAACCCUCUCAUUGGAUCCACAUAUUAUAGUAUUAUUGCAUAUCGUUUUGUCCACCGCCUCAUCUUUAAACACCACAAAAUAAUUAACUUCAUAAAAUUAAUACCACCUGCAGAUUAAUCAGGUGGUUAAGUAAAUCAAAUCAAACAUUGAAGCACAUUUCCAUUCAUCUUUUAAAAAAAAAAACCAUUAACUUGCAAUUUACAGGGACCAUAUAGGCCCUAGGGUUGUGUGUUCUCUGUCAGAUACACAGUUGGCAUGUCUAUGUCGAUGUGGCCAUAUGUUGCCCUAGAAUUGAGCUUAUUAUAAUUGUCACGAUGAUGCUGUCAUAGCAUCCACCGCAACCUGUUCGAAACUAAUUAAAAUAAUUAACUUCUCCAAAUUUCCAAUUCAAAUUAUUUGAAUAGGAAAAAGAGUACAAAGUAAAGCGAGUCAUCUCAAUAGUAAUAAAAACUUUCAGUAACUUGACCUAACCGACAGAUUAAAACGAUAUACAUGAUUCUUAGAAAAUAUAUGGAUAGCCUUCAAUGACAUUGGCUAAAUAUUCUAUAAAGCAACCAAAACUUGAACAUCAAGCGAGGAAAACUUGGUAGCAUGCUUACCAUUAGAAAUGGUUCAAAUACAAGUUGGGUUUUGAUGUUGUUUUGACCAUUAGCUAUUGUGGGGCAGGAUUUUGAAAGGACCAACAUGAGUACAUGUGUGAAAAAGCAAAGACAACCACAUCUAACAUUAGUAAGUUUUUGACCCCACAACAAGAUAUAUGCACAUCUUCUUCUUCAUAUAACGCGGGGAUUGAGAUUGAGAUUGAGAGCAAGUUUUCAAAGAACAAUAUCUUUUUGCGAGGACGAAGAGACAACCCUAAACCAAACAAAUACCCCACUUCCUCCCCAAAUCUUCCCAAUUUAGCACAUUAUUGUAAUCUUGCGUUUGUUGGGGCCUUGUCCAUGGCCACUUGUGCUUUUGGAUAUCUAGCAUCAACCAACGUAACCAUCACGUGUCACUCAGAAAUUAAACGCAAUAAUUUAUAUUAUUGUUAUAUUGUUGCUGUGGUCACAAUAACAACAACAACAAAUACAGGAAAAAAGAAAAGCUAGGCCUAGGUUCUCUCUCUCAGUCGGUGGCAGACGAUAACUCCUAAAUUUCACUAUGGUUGAGUUACCAAUUAGACCACACCACAGUAGCACUGCCAACCCUAAUUUUGUCGGUAUUGUACCCUCCAGCUUUGCAGGACCCUCUGCUUCAUCUGAUCUGAUCCAAACCCUAAAUCAUCAGAAAAUCCAGUGGUGCCCAACUACGUGGCUCGUACACGUUUUCACCAAAGCAAUGACCUAGCAUAUUUUCCUAUAUAUAUAUAUAUGGUAGCUAGCCUGACACAAAGCCAUUAACGUACGCUUUCUGCUAGUCUCUUCUCUUUGGCGUAUUUUUAGGGUUCUUCUUUUGCACUCUAUUUUUUUUCUCUCUCUUUUUCUGAGAGAGUUCACAGAACCCCAUGACCCAUGAGAGUAAAAGCUGGUGGGGCAAUCUCACAUGUUAUUUACAACCUCAAGGCUCUUGCUUUAUUUUGUGCACCUAACCUAACAUAACAUCAUCUUUUCUGUUUUUUGUUUCUUCUGAUCCAUUUGCUGGAAAUGUCAUAAGUGCUUGCCCAAGUGGAGUUGCAGAUACCUAAUAUUCAAGUGAAAAGUUAUUUUCCUGUAUGACUGUCAUUUUUCCCUUUAUAAAACAUUAUUAUUGCUCUCGUAAAAUUAAAGUAACAAACAAUUAUAUUUAUAUUUUUUUUUAAAAGAAGAAGGUAAUAACUCAAAGUUUGCAAAAGUAAGAAAAUAAAUUAUGUACGUCGACAUAGAUAGAUCGGGUGCAUGGUGCAUGCAUUAUUAUUGUUUGUACUAUACGUUAGUACAAUAGUAGAGAAGAACUCAUUCAAUGAUGUAUAGGUAAAAAAGAAACACUGAUGUGACCUGAUCAAUGUCAAUUGGAAAGUGAAUAAUCCAAAUUUACUGCCUCAAUAAAAUUACAAAGAAGGAAUAUCUAUAAUCAAUAAAGAAGAUGGAGUUGCAACGUGCUCGUUGCUUUAAAUCUGAGUUCGAUUUCUCUUCUCAUACAUACAUUAUAGUAGUUUUCGAUUUCUCUCUUUAUACAUUGUAAAAAAUUAAAUACAAAGGCUUAUAUGGUUUUCGAAAUUAUAUAUAUGGUACCUAGUCGUACUCGUAGACUGCCAUUCACUAUCUACCAUUUUAAAUACACUUGAUUUAUUUUUGGUAUAGUUUCAUUCAUGGGUUGGCGUGCCGGUGCCACAAUGUAUUACAAUAGCUACACCUACAAGACAGAGAAAAAUAAUAUAAAUUUAUUUUCUCUUUGCUUGUUCUUGUUUUAUGCUUUGGAUAGUCAAAUCCUCUAUGGAUAGGCAGUUGCACCAUUUGCUGAUGAAGCUGCUGUUUUCUGAAUGAUGGAUGCUGCUCUGAAACCAAGCAAUAUUUAACAAAUAAUAGAGGCCAUCCAUUUUAUGGGUCCCACUAAUGUUAAUAAGCAUCAGUCUGACGUGUCAGGUGGGCAUUUGCACUUGCCACAUGUCCACGUCAUUGCUAAACAACACUCCCCACCCACCACUAAUUUUGGACACUUGUGAAUACUGAGUGAGCGAAGAAGCCCACUAUUUAUCCACGUCUCUUUUUCUUGUUUUUUCUUCGUGCAUGGAUGGAGUGAUGGUGGUGGUAAAAAAAUAAACACGCUGUAAAAUUUGGGACAAAUUAUUAUUUCUCUGUAGAAAAAGAAAGAGAAAAGUAACUAGGUAAAAACAUUAUCAUUAAAGAGGAUCUCAAUCUUGUUUUUGUUUUUGUUUUUGUGCUUUUGGGUUGAUGGAGAAUCAUCAAACGUAAGAUCUACUUUUCCUCUCACACCACUUACUCAUAAUGUCAGCAUUUUUGUGAAUUUCAAUUGAAUGCGAUCAUUUAAAUUUGUUGUUGUAAGUAGAUAGAGAAUGAAUUUUCUCUUGGUGCAUGGAUUUUGAAUUCUGAGAAAGCACUUUUCUUCUACAGCUUGUUUAGAAACUAAUUCAAAAAAUUUUGAAUUAUGAUUUACCUUUCAUCUCACCUAGUCUCAUAUCAUGCCAUGCCAUGCCACUUGAGUUGUAAGGUUCAUGGUCAUUUUAAAACUUCAAAACUAGUUAUUGAUGGAUUUGUUGUUUGUUAUUGAAUGCUUUCUUUUAAUAGUAUGCAAUGUUUCAAGAAGCGAGUUUUACGGCAUAAAUGACGUUAUUUUAAUUGUCUGAAUUAUGGUCAUUUGAAUUGAAUUGAAUGACGUCAUUUAAUUUUUAUUAUUGUAAGUAGUCAAAGAAUGAAUGCGCACUUUAAGCAUGAGUUACGUGUGAUUGUGAAUUGAGAUAUGUAUUUAUUAUUAUGAAAAAAUAAAGUAGUUGCAAUUUUAACCCAAUAUUUUCUUUUUCAAAAUUAUAUAGACUCCGCGAUUAAUUACGUACGUGAUCUAAUGUAAAUACUCACUAGUCAUUUUACCAUCAACUUUUUCUUAUGUACAAACUGAUAUGCAUUAUAUAUCCCCCUCCAUUGUCAAUCAAAUUCAUCUUUAUUUGCCAUUGUGCGACUCUCCAAUAGUUUAUACACAGGGAAAGAUGAAACUGCACAGAAUCACAUGCAAACUGUUCCAUAAUAGAUCCUUUGUUUAGGGGCAGCCGGAUGCGAAAUAUGAGAAUGUACUUGUAGAUUUUUAUAUUUGAAGUAAGUAUCAUUCAAAUUGUUUGACUUGCCCUCUGAUUGCAUCCAGACAUAAUCUUAAUGGCAUCACCAAAAGCAUUUCUGAAUACUGGUAAUAAAAUUUUGAGAUACCAAACCAUUACUUUUAUGAGUCUAGGUUCCUGCUCCUGCUCCCCCGAUUUUAAUAUUUGGGUUCACAUUAAACGUAUAAAAUACCUUCCAGAUAACAUAGUGACCACAAUACAGAGAGAGAGAGAGAGAGAGAGACAGAGACAGAGAGAGAAGUUGGUGUCAAUUGAUUAGACAAAUGAGUAAUAUGGUGGAUACGGGUCGCUUUUUAAGUAUAGUUCCUUUGCUUUGCAAGAAAUCUGAGACAUUGAAUGGAAAGAAAGAAGUCACAUAUAUAUAAAGAAUCAAAAGCAAACAUGGAAAAGUUAAAAAGGAAAGGGGUAGAGGAUCUGAUCAAACAUUAUCAUUUCAUUUCAUCUGGAUUGACAAGUACAACAAUAUCAUGCUUUUUUCCAUAUCCUAUUGCGCAUGUUUGAUGAUUGUCUAAUUACUUACACUUCUUUUUAAGCAGAAAGAAGAAAAGCAAAUAAUAAUGUGGUUUGUGAUGUUCCCAUAAGCAUUCCAUAAGUGAGGUGUGGAUUUUGCCACUAAGACGCAUGAGUAAACAAGUCCAUAAAAGCUAUAGGUCUUAUCAAGCAAAGGAUUCAAACUUGGCAAAUAUGCAAGGUGACAUAUAGCUUGGAUUAAGCAAAGUUGGGUUAAUUGUAGGUUAAGACUGAGUGAUUCGGAUUGAGUUCGGUUUGCCAACAAUCUUGAUUCGUGUUAAACUCAAUCUCGACCAAGUUAAGAGAUGGUAAACACAUACUUAACUUGACUUCUAACCAAAUUCACUGUCACUACUGAUCUAAAUGAAUUCGAAUUUCGAGUGAACUUCGAAUUAGAUCAUUGUAAACCAACCCAAAUUAAAUCAUUUAAUUAAGAGGCAUAAACGUGCAUGUGAAACCGAUUAACAACGUGGAACAAAAACCAAAGGUUAUGAUGUACUAGUUGAAUAUGGAGGUCCCCAAGAAAAAAGAACGAAAAACCCUCAUAAAAGUAUUGAACUCUCUCCCCAAGAAAGAAAUGAAAAACUGGUAAAAGUUACCCUACGAAAAAUUGGGAAAGCUACAAAGGAAGGAGAGCAAUUGAAAUAAUAAUAAUGGAGGUCCCCACAUUGGAGAAGACGAUAUGAUGCUAAUUUUGACGUCUCACGAUUGUUGGCAUACACAUUUUUAACCUGCUGCUUUUUUUUAUGACAUUUUGAGCUCUCUGUCCAAACCCAACAACUCGAAAGGCUUUGGCAUUGCUGCAUGAUGCAUGAACAAGACCCCAACAAGAAGAGAUAAGAGAUGCCCACCAUAUGCAUCUUGUUCUUCACAAAAUUCAACCCACCGCCCUAGAAACUUUCCAAAGCUGUGGAUGGAUGCCUUGCCACACCAGAUGGGAAAAGUUAAAUUCUGAUUAAAAAGAAAAGGAAGAUCCAAGUUUUAAAAAAAUGGGGGUAGGUAUACCGCAAUUGUAAAGUGUUUGACAAUUUCUUUUUGCCUCUGCUUUUGGUUAACAACUCAGUAUCUCUCAAUGCAGCCCAAAAAACAAGAAAAACCGAUUUCCCUUAAAUUGCUUUUCUUAAAGCAGUGAGACCAAUUAGGUAUGAAACUCAUCAUGCACAUUGCUCAAAUGGAAAGAAAAUAAAAAGUAAAAAAAAUGAUGGAAAUUAAAUAUACCCAAUAGAAACAAAAUUUGUAAUCCUACUCUUUUUUUUUUUUCCUUUUUGUCCAAAAAGUAUUUGACAAUAUUUUUCUGUUCAAUUUCUGAGGACUAAAAAAAUCCUAAGAGAAAUUAACAUGCACACUGGCAUUCAUGACAGAGUUACAUACAGGGCAAUUGAGAAGGGUGGACCCACACAUUGUACACAGGCACAAAUGCCUGCAUGGCAGUAACAACACCCUUGACUCCCUCACCCCACACCUCUUACACAUCCUAUCGCCACCACCACAACCACCGUUUCCGCCGCCUCCAACCACCGCAUCACCACCAUCAACCGCCUCUUCAUCCCGCCCGUAAUCGUUGCUGCCGCAGCUCGAUUGCGCAUCGUCUGCCACCGCGGCGGCUGGGGGGCCGCCACCAGCUUGGUGCUCCUCGCUAACGUGCGCCAGGACUUGCUCUAAAUUGGUGCGUAGAGAAUUGGCCGCGGCUUCGUUUGUCUGCGCCAUGUCUCUCCAUAUUUGGUUCUCAACGAAUAGGCUUUUGACUCGCUCUUGAAGGACCCAAUUGAGCUUCCCCAUCCUCUGUAUCUCCUCGUCUUUCUCCUUCAGUUUCUUCACGAUUCUCUCCUGGAUUGCCGACACUAACAAUCUCGAUUGCUGCUUUCUUUGCUCUUCGAGUUCCAUUCUCACUUUCUCAGUCUGUCAAAAUAGCCAUAGAAACCAAAAUCAAUAGAGGAAUAAAAAAAAAAAUCUAAAUUUCAUGACAAUGCUCUGUCUCAUGGCCAAGAAAACGGAAGGAGAUAACAAAAAAAUGAAAAUCCCGGUUUUUGGAUUUUUCAUUCAUUAUGGUGAAUGGCACAAGGCUUUAUAGAAAACAUGAGUGAAAAUUUACUACAAGCUUGGCCUAAAACAGGGGAGAGAAACAGAGGAAUAUUGAAGAAAGAGAAAAAAGAAGGGGAAGAUAUAAAGGAUGGUAGAGGAAUCAAACAUACAUGUUGGGCGAUGAAGCGAUCGAUCUCAGAUUGCUGUUGUUGGAUCUGAAAGGCAAUGUCUUGGUCGAUAAAAGAUGAGGCACCAACGGACAUUUUGGUCUUCUGAGGGACUGAGAAAUUGUUGAAGUCGUUGAUCAAUUGGUCUCUAGGCCGCUUUCUAGGAGCAGAUAUGUUGUUGUAUGUGAGACCACUCUCCGCCUGCUUGUUCAUCGAAGCUUUAUUUGCUUCACAGAAAGGCGAUUGGUACAUGGGAAGCAGAUUUUCAGGCAUUGUUGCGGACAAAAUCAGGCCAGAGUCCAUUUGUGUACUGUAAAUAUUGGCGUUUCCUUGGUUGGUUUUGAUGAAAUCUCUGCAAAAAUAAAACACAACCCACGUAAGAAAAUUGAAAACCAGAGAAAACCCAUGUAGAAGAAGGUGAUUUGAAGGGCUGGCAUGUACCUAUUUGGAAUUAACUGAGAUGGGAUAAGAGCCGCAUGGUGGAGGUGCUGAGCUUCAACUGCCAUGAAGAAGAAAGGUUGGUUCGUUCUGCUAUGCUUUUCUUGUGAUUCUUCUAGCUCUUCUUGCUCUGUUGUUGUUGUUGUUGUUCGAGAGAAAAUAUAAAGAGAAAUGGAAUGAGAGCUUCAAGAGAAUGAAGAUGAGAUGAGGCAGAAAGCACGCAAUAGAGGUGGCGACUAGAGAGCCUGAAUCAAUUUAUUAGGCUGGGGCAGAGAGAGAGAAAGAGAGAGAGCAAAAGUUAAAGGUGUUCCCAACAAAGAAAAAUCCCAUUUUUAUACAAUAAAAAAUUUAUAACUUUUUUUAAUUUGAAAAAAGAAAUAAAACUUAAAAAAGAAUCCCAAACAAAAUUAAUUGUAAAACAUGGAAGUGACAGAUUUUGUCAGAUUUGGUCCAAUUUAAGUUUUGUUGAUUUUUCCUUAUCCAGAGAAAAAAACCUCCCUUCACAUUGCAUUUACACAUGGAUUUCCUCUGGUCUUUCCGUAAUUAGACCAAACUUCCAGGGAUAGUAACGGAACUUAUGGAAGCUGACUGGGUUUUUUAUUAUCAAAACGCUGUGAUUUUUUGCAGUUAAUGGCGUUGCAGCAUAUCCGCCACGUAUCCGAUUGGCGUGGUGCCCUCCGCAGAAGGCUGCCACGUCACCAAAAUGGAGCCAAAGGACUUUUCCUGAAACCAGCACAGCACAGGCACAGGCACAGCAGCGGGGCACUCGUUGUGUACGUGACUUUUUUAUCAUGGGAUUUUGAGGAGAGUGGGGCCCAUUGGGCACUGUCCCACGUGUGACGGUGUGUGCGUGUGAGGACAAUAAAGCUGACCCACUAGCCACGUCUGGAUGGGGCCCCCACUCUGUCCUUUGGAAUGGAGGUGGGGACAGACAUUGUGGGGUCAACAUUUCCGUUUCGCAGCGGUUUCCCCGUUUUGCUACCUUGUCCCCUUCCUUUAACUGGCGGUCUCCGUGUACGGACAAAUCAAGGGUGGAGGGUGAGUGAUCCGGUGCGGCACGGGUCCACACAGUACUGUGCGCCUUCAUUCAUUGUCAACAAAUUAAUGAUCGCUUCCAAACUUUUUUAAAGUGUGGUGUUGGGGGUGUGUUUUGUGAUUUGUCUGUCUCUUAGUCAAACUGUGCACAUAAUAAUAAUAAUCUUUGAUUAGUAAAAUAAUUAAUUCAUAAACAUUUGCGUAUUAAUAGGAAAUUAGAUCGCAUCAUGUUUACUUUGAACCACUUAAUUAAGAAGUACAGCUAUGGAUGAACAAAUUAGGUUGAAUUAAAGUGCAUGCCAAUUGAAAUUAAUUAUUGCUUAACCCAUAAGCACAUGUGAUUUCUUUUGGCUUAAGGGCCCUAUAAUCUUUUUCCUAGCUGUUUUAUUACCCUUUCAGAUACCAAAUCCUUAGGGUGGUUAAGGUAUGUAACACUCAAUAGACUUUUUUUAAUUUCUCCAAUUGCCAAUUAGGGUUAAUAUUUAUUUUUUAUUUUUUUAAUCUAUUAAAAACUUUUAUUAUGAUUUGAACCAUUUGUUCAAGUGAAAGUAACUUGAGCCAAAACUCAUGGGUUGGGUUAGUUUUUGUUUUUAUUUUCUAAUUAUGGGUUAAUUUUUAUUAAACGAAAGAGAGAAAGAACAAAUUAGACUUGCCAUAAAAAGAUUCCAUGCAAUGAGAUGAUGAGACCAUUCUGAGUUGUAUGCUUAUCUCUUGUAUUGUAAAACACAACUUGUCCCAUGUGAAUACUUUUCUUUUUUGUUUUUGUGUUUUUGAGGGUGUAGAUCCAAACGAGUGAUUAGAAGAAAACUAAACUCUUCCUAAAAUGGAUUAAAAAAAGUUUGGCUUCUUCUUUCCCAUUAAACAAGCAUCAAAUUCAGUUUAUAUUGAGUAGGUAUACCUUCUAAGAUUCCCUCAAAUUAAGAUUAAAACAUGAAUCAAACAUGCCAUUAAUAUAACUUGUAAUUAAUUUUAAUCUCCAAACAAUCCGACAGUUAAUGGUAUGAAAUUUUUUAUGAAUGCAAUCUCCCUACUAUUUGACAAAUAAUGCGUAUAGAUAUCACAUUGUCUAUCUUUAAUUUUACAUGAAAUGCAAAUUCUUCUCCAAUUUUUAGAAUUUAAUUCACUCGUAAGGAAUGCGUCAUAUGGAGUAAUUUUCUAAUUACUCCCAAAUAAUGUCACAGCAUUACAUUUUUGUUUUAUAGUCAAAAUCAAGUAUAUGUUUUUAAUUCUCCCAUUAAGUUCUUUCCUAACAAGUACAAGAAAUAUUGAAGUCCUACCAAUUUUCACAACCUGCAGUACCAAAAAUAUAGAGAACAUUAACUUAGAGUCAAAGUCAAUGGUGAAGUUGCAGCAGAUAAAAUGACCAGCAAUGAAGUGAAAUUAUUGGCAUCUAAAUUUCUCAGGCACCAAAAUUGAAUUUGGGGGGGCCAAAAUGUGCAACCAAAUUAUGGGGUAUUGACCAAAUUGAAUUUGAGAGAACAGUAACCCCACCUUGUCUGAAACUAUCUAACAUCUUCUUUAAUUCCCUCACAAACACGCACAAUCGAAUAGGAAAGAAAAGGAGAGCAUAAAGAAAAGGAAGGAAAAGAAAAGCAUUUGCCACCAAAAAAAGAUAGCAAAUGUAAAUGUAGACAGAUGGAUUCCCAUAUCCACUAUCUCUCAUCUCUCUCUCUCUCUCUCUCUCUCUCUCUCUCUCUCUCUCUCUCCUUGUAUUAUUGCUUUGCAUUCAUCAUCCCAUUUGGGCUCAUAACGUAUGCUUCACUUUAACCACCUCAAAAGAAAAAUAAGGGUAAAAUACAAACCAAAGAAAAAAGGCAUGCAAACACGAAACAAGGAGAUAGACGGAAAACCAAAUCAUGCAUUGACUAUUGCAUGUUGCACUGUUAAGAAUGCUUACAUAUAUUAGUAGUAAAAUAUCGGCGUAGAAUUCUUUCUUUAUUCAAGCGAUAUUAAGGGAGGAGAAAUUUGAAUACAGAAUCUUUGAAUGUAUGGAUUGGUUUGGAAUUGAAUAUGUGAAAAAUUAAAGGCACUAAAAAUAAAAAAAGAUAAAGUUUAUGGUUAUGCUUAUCUUACCAGAUUUGUUUUCGAUUUGACAAAUACAAAACAUACUAAUAAUAAACCCCUCCUAGCACAUGACAGAAAAAGCUUAACGUACAUAUUAUUGUUUUUUUUUUUUUAAAAAAAAAAAAAGGAACAUAAUGGCAUAUUUUAGCUUUGUGUUUGUUCUACGAGUUAUGAUUCCUAGGUAGAGUUUUUAUUUUUAUUUUUAAAUGAUCUUUUUUAUUGAGCGGGAUGAUAGCAUACUGAACUCACACACACUAUACAGAUGUUAGAACUCAAACCCAGAAUCUCUCUUAGAAAGAACAUUUGAUCCAAAUUACUACACUAGUGAAUUAUUUGCCCUACGUGAAGUCUUAAUAGUGGCUUAAAACCCACUAUUUAUUUUCCUUAAUUGAUUUAUAGCUGGUUCAAAUUUAGAUUUAUUUUAGAAGUUUCCAAUGAAGUUCCUAGAAUUGCAUCUACCUUUUCACUUCACAUCUAGUGUUGCAAGCAUCAAUGGCCACUAGCCAGCCAUGCCGGCCCUUUAUUUCUCCUUUUAUAUCCGCAGAGGUCGGUUUUAUAUGCCAACCACUUGGAAGAUCCCAUGAUGAUUCUAAAAGUUUUCAAAUGUGGGAACCACACAAGUAGAAAAAAAAAAAUAUCAUGAUGCAAAAGCAUCUAGAUAUGUGUAGUGGUUCUGAUAACCAAGAAGCAUAUCUCCUUGUUUAAUGUUAUAAGCACUAUGAUUACUUUCCACUUGGAUUAUCUUGUUCGAAAAGCUAAAAACGAAAUGAUAAAAGUAAGAAUAACAAUGAAUUGACGUUUUCAUUUGGCUUUAUAUGGAAAAUAUGAUGGCGUAUGAAUUUGAAUCAUUUCAACAAAAAAUAAACAAGAAUUUAAAUUAUUAAUUAAGUAGAUUCUUGUUUAGUAUGUUAUUUCUUGAUAAUUUUGCAUUGUGACUAUGAAUUUGAACUAUUGGAUAUAGUAACUCUUGUUUGAAUGCCAUGUGUUUGGAUUGAUAAUUGGACAAUAUGAUGUGUAAGAUUGCCAGGUAAAAAAAACGUAAUUAUUUUAGAAAAAUACUCUCAAAUACCAUUAUUACUAUAGUAAAGUUUUCAAAUAACACUAUUACUAUAGCAGGUAGUUUCAUUAUAUUGAUAUCAUCUCCAUAUUAUGUCGAUACUGUCGAUAAUAAAGUAUUAUGUUGACAUCUAACAUUUUUAAAGGGUAUAUAAAUAAAGUAUCAAUAUGCUGUUGGUGUUGUCGAUUUGAUAGAGUAAUGAUAUUAUUUGAGAAUUUUAUAAUAGUAAGUGAUAUUUGAUAGUAUUUUCCUUAACUUAAUGAAGUAAAUAUAAUCUUGCAAGGAAGAGGUGAAGUAGGAUUGGGGAGCUUUUCUGAAGUGGGUAGGUAAAUGAUCAAAGCUAGUGAAAUGGAAGUCAUGAUAAAGUCAUCAUGCUUUUAUGCUAAAGCAAAAACGAGCACUUGGUCCCUCAAAAAGUCCAAAGAUCCGUAAUUUGAGGACAUAUGCUUAAUUAAAUGUGAUUAUUGAUUUAAUUGACAAUGAAACCAACCCAAUUAGUGAAAAUUAGGUCAGUCAUUGAGAUCAGAUGAUUCGACACCACUAUGUCGUGUUCAUGAAUGCCGCCGUCUCAAUUGUUAAUCAAAUGCUUAAUGUGGAACUUUCCCUAAAUUAGCUGAAUUUAAUAUCCUCGGUUGUUUCAGAUGAUAUGCAUAUGUAUGGCCAAUACAGCACGCACUUUUCAAGUAUUGAUGUAAUAAUACAAACAAGUAAAACCACAAUUUAUACAUUUAAAUUAUAAAUAUCUCAUUCUUCGAUUGUUGAUGAAUAAAUAAAGUUUCUCUCGUGUUGUCGAAUUCGUGAAUUACUUUAUUAUAGAAAAAAAUAUGAAAUUAGUCCGGACGAAGAUUCCUAUGUUCUCACCUAAAGGCACUUUCAAACACUGUUGAAAUAAAGAACUCAUUCUACCCAUGUUUUAAAUAAUUAGAUUUGGUUAAACUGUUUAAUCAUGAUUCCCAUAAUGAUGGUUUGUUUGAAUUUGAUCAGUCUAGAAUGCAAGAAAAAAUUAGUUGAAAAAUCAUUGUAUCCAACGAAUUUGAUUCCCAACUUUAGACGCACCAUAACAUGUUUUGUCAAAGAAAUAGUUGAAAUCUCCCACUCAUCCUUGUUCCCUUCACAAGAUGAGAUGAAGUCUAUAUAAAGAAAGGGACAUCGACAGUCCAUAUUUUGCCAUCUUUUUCCUCCUCCGAGUAAUCGACUUUGCAUUUGGCAUUAAUAGGGUUAAUAUUAUUCUUGGCCGCAACUUCGUGCACCGCAGGCUUCCACUCAAAUCUAUUCUUGGAUUUCUGCCUAAUUGACAAACAAUGCAGCUAAGUAAAAUAAUUUGAAUUCUCUUUGACAACGCAAACAAACACCAAAAUCGAACCAAAUUGAUGGAGACGUGAGGAGGAGAGGUCGUUUUCUUGGAAUUUCUCUCCAUUGGAAGCUGCAGGACAAAACAACAGGGAUUGAUAGAGAAAAUUUGUGCAUAUAUUAUAUAGGGCCACAGUGUGGUCACUGGUCACGUACUUUUAUCAAAAUUAUAUGCUGCCCUGAAAUUGUGGGCCAAAAUCUUUUGCUUUCAAUCUCUCAAUGAUAUGAUUGAAUAAUGGGGUUAUGUUCCUUUUUGAAUAGGGUUGAUUCCAUCUUGGGGUCUAGUCAAAAAUUGAUGUCUCUCUGUCUCAUCCAAAUGAAAACCCCAGAAUAAUUAUAUUAUAAAGUUUUUGUUUAUUUAUAUUGGUAUUUUUCAAGCAAAAACUCAAUCUAAAUGUCUCUUUCUUUGACUAAGAAAGCCUUAAUUUGUAAUGACAAGUAAUUUUUUGUUUGUUUAAACGAAUGUGCCUAAUGGGUCCCCAUGCCUUUGCUAUUUAAAGCCAAAGCACAGCAUUAUCCCUUUAAAAUUCAACUUCCAACCACAUUCUGCUACGCAUCAAAAACCUAGAAAAAUAAGUAUGCAAUUUUGUUUCUUCUACAAAUCUCACUUGCAUCCCAUUAUAGAGAAAAACUUAUAUGAAAUGAAAAGGGGAUAGCAUUGUUUUACUUAUUAUUCAUAGCCAAUCACGCUAUGCUAAGUGAAAAAAUUAUCACUCGUGGCAUAGCGUGAUUGAACGAGAAUAGUAAAACAAUGAUGUCCCAGUACAUACAAGUAUUUCUCCCCAUUAUGACAAUGUGUCAUUAUUAAUCGAUUAUGUAUUCGCAAUUGAAGGAGGAGCUUGUUAAUUAAGAUGAUAUUAUACUAAAUGAGAAAUGAAUAUAUUUAUUUACUGUUAGAGCAUAUAUUACAAAAAUUACCACUGUGUAGGGUUGAGUUUUUGAGAGAUAAAGCUGAAAGCAAUUUCACAACUUUGGAUUUGAUGACUUUUGAAGGCGUGAGGCACGUCAGGAAUGAUGCAUAGAGAUAUGUAUGAUGCUGAAGAAAGCGACCAAAGCUUAUCAUCCUUUUCUAUGUCCACUUUGAUGGAUUGGGUCUACCUAUCCAUUAUGAUUCUUGUGACACACCAACGGUAAAAUUAAAAGUUGCACAACCUUGCUGUUAAUUAAUUCAGAGGAUGACUUAUUCUACUUUAUUAGAUUUUUGUUUUUUUUUACAAUACGAUAAACUAUUCUAAUGUAAGAGGAGGGGAAUCGAACUCGAGUGUAAAAGGACAGACAUAUUUUCCUUGUCCAACUGACAUAACUCACAUAUGCUUAAGUUAUUGAUAAGCAGGUGACCGAGAUUACCUACUUAAAUAUAGAAAUUGAUACAUUAUUAAGCUUUUAAUCACGGACUCUUCUUGGUGAAGUGGUAUGUGUAUAUAUUCUCCUUUAUGACGCCUUUGAGGCCACAAUAAUCACAAAGUUGAUUUUGGCUUUUGAUGAGGUGUGCAACAUAAAAACAAAACCAAGUCGUCCUCACAAAACAAACUUUUUUAUUUAUUUAUUUCAAUUAUUUAUUUAUAUCACAUCGUGCUUUCUACAUUACCCAAGUAUGCAUUCGUAGAACUUACAGAAAAAACGAAACGAAACAAGGUGACGAGAGAUUGGACCAAUUUUCUAUAUUUUGUCCUCUUUUUACGUUACUAUAUUUUUAUAUUUUAUAAAUUGUUUUUGGGAAUUUCAGAAUUGAUGAAGUUGAGGGUGGUGGUGGUGGUGGAGUGGAGAAGACGUGGGUGCUAUUAAUGUUUGACAACAAGAUGAGAAAAAAAAGUAGAUACAGUAUGUUUAGUUGGCGUCCAUACAUGGAGUUCAAAGACUUAUUACUUUGGCACAAGCUGAAGACUAACAGAAAACAAAAUUGUCGGCCCAAGAUGGAUCCCCAAUGUCAUGUCAAUGUGGUCAUGCUCAUACCCAUUUCUUUAACAUGCAAUAAGAUGGAAGACUACUGUUUGUGUUUGGGGUUGAAAUAGAACGCCUACAUUAUUGUUAAUUAGGGUUAUUGAAUUCUGUACUAACAAAUAUUAUACAUGAGAAGAGUCGAAAAACCGGUGUCAAAUGUGAUUCUUUUGAAGUUACGAUUAAGGGUGUUAUUAAAUGAAUCUUAAAAUUAAUUGAGGACAGUCUACUAUUAAACUUUUUAUUGAAUUACUAAUUUAUCUUAAUAUAAAAUUAUCACAAAUGAUAUAUUGAAUUGUGAAAUAAAUAUAAUUUUAAUAAGUGCAUCAUACUCACCAUAUUCAACCCUAACCAAACAUAUAACCGAAAAACUCUACUUCCAAAAACCUUAGUAUUAACGCAAACAAUUUGUUUCAUCAUUACUUAGUAAUUGAUUGAUGCAAACAAGUCUCACGGAUGCUUCAUAUAUAUCGAGGAAGUCAUCAAAAGAGGUAUUAAUAUUGGUAUUUUUGGUUUAGGUAGAAAAUAAAAAUAAAAAUUUAGGUUUGUCCAGUGAAGCAUCAAGUUCGGCAACAAGGUGAGUUUUGUAGUUUGAUGGAGUGUUCGGCAGUACGGUGAGUUUGGUGGUCUGAUAGUGUUCGGCAACGAGCUCUCAAAUGAGUUUGGUGUUGUGUGAGAUGAGUACGGUCAGAUUUAAACAUCAAGUUCAAAUAGAGUAGGAAUCAGUUUUUCCAAACCAAACAAACCCAAACUAAAUUAAUUGCAGUUUGGUUCGCCUCAUAUUAAAUUGAUUUGAGCGGUGUAAACGGGACAAACAGUUUUUACCAAUUUCUAAAAAUAUGUGUGUAGAAUGAGUCACUUAUUGAAACACAGAGCUCUCUCUCGAUAGCAAACAUAGCACUAGGUUUUACUUUUGCAAAAGGCUAGUACUAUUAUUACAAUUCUCCAAAUAUGCAUGAAAAAUCUAUAUACUUUGCGUUGUCCACAUAUGCAUAAACGACUAUAGCAGCGGGCUACGCAUUUAGCUCGAAAUUUGGAUAUAUAAUUGUCUACUUUAUUAAGAAGAUACCAAAGUUUAGAAAUAAAGUGAUGUGCAAGAUUUCCCAAGUAGAAGAAAUGUGAAUUCCGAAAUCUUCAUUGGGAUUGAAUGAGGCGAGAAGCUUCGAUUCCACUGUAUUAUUUCCUGAAAGCAUAAUUUGCAGGACAUAACUAAUUCGUGUAUCAUGGAAUUAGUUGAGAAAAUGAUAUGCCAUUAUAUAUGCAUGCCUCAUGAACAGCAAGCAGUCAGUUCAUGUCUGUCUGCUUACAUAAAUUCAGUACUGUAUAUGCUCCAGGAAAAACCUAAUCACAUGCACCGUCUGCCUAGCUACUUCACUCUAAAUCAAAUCCCAAUAUUUCAAACCUCCGUACAUUGCACAUGCGCCAUUAACUUAGGAGGGAACUAUAUAUAUAUAUAUAUUGUUGCUUUCGAGUAUGCAUGUCCCUAAUCAAAUAGGUUCAAAGAUCCAACAAUCGUAUUAUUGUCAAUAACGAUUGAAUAAUAUGAUGAUUUGUUGCCUAAUAGCAUCUUACUUGUUGAAAAUAAAUGAAUUUUUUUACCUACUACAAUAGCUUAUGAAAUAAACAAUGUUUGAAAUAUGAACAAAUGAAACUCUGUUCUAAUUGGCUAGAGACUUUUGAGAUUUAACAUGGAGCUAGCUUAACGUUGGAGAAUUAAUCAUAUUAAACAUGUAUUUAAUUACUUAAAGCAUGUGACGUCCGGGAUAUGAUUAAUUAUUCCUUGCUAAUUUCUUUCAAAAUUGUCGGAGAUGGGUUUAAGCGUGGACAUUUUUGUUAGAUAAGUUAAUAAACUAAUGUGGAUAUAUAAUUAUUCCUUGCUGUUAAUCAAGUCCUUAGUUUGGGAGGUGCGGGUGUCGUGGAUUGAGAUUGGUGUGGAAAUUUUGCAGCCUGUAUUAGGAGGUCCAAAGAUGUGUUUUUACCCAAACAUGUUGAGGUGCUGGCGGUAUGUGAAGGUUUGUUGUGGUGUUUGGAGCUUAGACUUCUCAGCUUUUGGUCAUAUUAUUGAAGAUGCUAAGGCUCUCUUGAUUCCUCGACUAUCGGGGGUGAUCAUCUCUCAUGUGCCUCGUUAAUGUAAUGGGGUGGCUCAUUGUUUAGCUAGAUACACUUUGUAAAUUGAUAGUUUUGCGCAAUCGAGCAAAAACCCUCUUGAAUUUAUUCAGGAUGGAUCGUAACAAAAUUUAAUAAUACUCAAUAAAGAUAUUGUUUUGUUAAAGAACAAAAAUAGUGUGCUGGAUAUAAACCUGGAGCGGGAUCUGUUGGUUGGAUUAGAUGACCAAAUUUCAAGAUUCUCUCAUACUUAAUUAUUGGUCUUAAUAACAACAACAAAAGAAAAGAAAAGAAUAUCAUGAUAUGAUCACCACGUAGUAAAACAAAAGAAAAUAAAAUAAAGAUUAUUAUAGCAGGAGCACUUGCUUAUCCGAGUUGGUGUAAGAAGGGGGAAUAAAAUUCCCCAAAUAAAAUAAUUAAUAAAUAAUGGUGGACGGUCUACUCGAAAGCAACAUUUGAUGAUGCAGAUUUGUUGUGGAUUUUGCUAAAACUGGAUUUGGACCCAUUAUUUGGGAUCUUUUGUCCCUCAGUGACCAGCAUGAGACUAAUUGGAAACUCAGAACAAGUUAAUUAUAUAUUAAACCUUUCUGUUUAGAGAUUUAAAAUAUAAUUACAAUGACCAUGUUUAUCCAAAGCAUGCAUGUUUGGAUGGUGACUGUCACCAUUUCUUUUUAUUUGAAAACCAAAUAAAAAUAAUAGUGCUCCUCCGACUCCUCGGAAUCUUAUAAUAUCACAAAGCUUGCGAGCCUUGUGAUUAAAAAAAUGCAUUUUCGUUUUAUUAUUUAUUUAUUGAAUGGUGAGGUGGAGAACUCAUUGCGACAUGCAGAGCAGAGAGACAGACAAAAACAAAAACAAAAGAAUGAAACAAAAACAUGUUUGUAUAGAUUACGGUCUUCCCACGCCAUUGAAGCACAAAUGUUGUUCUCGUCCUCCAUUAAUUAAGGCGUGAUAUGAAGCUAUCAUCUAAGGACGAUUAUUGUUUACAAGAAAUUGAAACAGAAGCUUCCUUCUUUGUGUUUUGUGUUUUGUUUUUGUUUUUGCUAAGGAUUGAAAGCGAAAGUCGACCUAAUUAACAUGACCAUAACAUGUCAUGCAAUUAAUGUGUUAUCUAAGUUGUCCCCUGUUUUUUUUUUUUUAAGAAAAAAAAAUUUCAGUCCAAAUUGUUGAGAAAAAUUAGCAAUGCUAUCUAAGCAAAAACCCUCUUAAAUUUUAGUCACAAUGUACGCAUAAGAGAAAUGUAUUAAAAAAAAAAUCUGUCCAAAUUGUUGAGAAAAAUUAACAAUGCUAUCUAAACAAAAACCCUCUUGAAUUUAGUCGGGAUGUACGCAUAAGAGAAAUGUAGUUAACUACAUUUAACUUAUAUAUAACACCGGAUUCAGUAAUUUAAUUUAAAAAUUAACAUGGAUCCCAUGAUAUGAUUUGUUAUCAUCAUUACUCGUAUUAUGUAUCAAAAAAAUCACAUCGCAAGCAGUUUGAUUGACGUAAUGAUGGAAAUUUAUUCAUUAUGUUGUUUUCAUAUUAAGUUAGGAUAAAAUUAUUCUAGCUUUUUUGUUUGUUUGUUUACGAAAAGAAGAACUUUCAUUAAACAACCUCGAAAAGCACCCUACAACAUAAGGAUUAAGACAAAAUGAAUUGAAGUAGGAGGCCUAAGAUUUUAACUGAAAUGCACCAUGCAUAAGUUUUUUUUUGGUCUCAACCACCAUGCAUGUUUCCGAGUCAUGAGUAUCCAUUGUUAGAGCUGCCAACGGCUUGAAAACCCUAAAACACUCCGUCGAAUUAUCGAGAAAAAAAAGUCCCAAUGUUGUAUUCUUAGUCAUUGGCAAUUGAUGAUUCAAUUUGAAUGAUAUUAGUAAUUUUCAUUUGCACUAUUUAGCAGCAGUACAAUUCUGUAUUUAAUUAUUGGGCAUGUUUGAGAGGUUUCUAUAGGUGUUGAAUUUUAUGUUGAAAAAAAAAGUAGAACAAAAAGAAAAGUCCAAAUUGAGAUUUGAAAUGUUUUAAAAGUCGUAUAGUGAAUUUCAAUUGAAAUGAUACUAGCUUUAACCAAAACGUAUAAAUUAUUAGUCCUUUUCACUCACGUUUUUUCUAAUUAUCACGAAUGUUUGACAAGUGUGAUCAGUGAUUUAAUUUUCUGUUGAAAAAGAAAAAAAAUAUUAAUAAAAAGGUCGCAUUGCUUUCACAUGCAUUUGGAUUUGAUUGUGUUGGCCGGCCGUUUAAUAUUUUGAACCGUCUUCUUCUUUUUAAUCUUUUUUUUUCUUUCUUUUUACUCGAUUCUAAAUUUGCAGUGACAAUUUUAUUUAUUUUAUCACUCAAGAAUUGUCAUACAUCAAAUCGAUCAACCUACGUGGCUUGUUAAAGUAUAAAAUAUUAGAUGUCGGUAAGUUGUUCUCUUAAUUUUCAAUAUUUUAUAGCUUAAGUGGUUAAGAGUAGUUAUUCUUACAUUCGAGAUAUUGUAUUUGAAUCUCCACUUAUUUAAUAUCGCUUGAACAAGAAACACAAAGUGUACUAAUUAAACAAUAAAGUAACCCUAAAAUACUUUGCUCACAUUAACAACCAACUAAACUAAUCUCUCUGACAGUUAUAAUCGCUCUGCCAAGCAAAUACUUGAACUCGAUAUUAUUGGGAGCUUAGAAGUAUCCUCAAGCAAAUAAAAGUGGAAAUGGAAUUUGGAACCUCAAUUUGUUGACAAACAAUUAACCUUUAAUUCUUCGAAAUUAACGUCUAAUCAUUCAAGGCGCGGACCACAGAAAAGUGCAAUGAAUCUUUGGCCUUUCUUUGUUGCGUGGGAAUUUUUGGUCAUGACAAUCUGUUUAUAUAUGUACUAGAUGACAUGAACAAGUUGUGGCCUCGACCCAUCACCCAUCUCCUCAUUGUCAUCCAAAAUAUUAUAAAUAUAUUUAUGAUAAAUAUCGGCACGCAUCCAAUAAACAAAUAAUGUCCACUUACGUGGUGCACCAUUUUGGUUGAAGAGGAAAUGGGAAUAUUUCACUCUCUUUUUUUGUCUCAAGUUAUCUUGUUUCUUGCUUGUAGACGUGAAGAUUAUUGGCGUUUUGUGACUUGUGAGGUGUUCUUAUAGUAAUUUGGUUUUGAUUGCUGCUAGAUGUGAUGUAGCAAUUCAGAGAAACUAACCGCCCAAUUUGUCACCUUCGAUUCGAUUGAUAAAAAUAAAAGAUGAGAUGAAGUAGCAAACCCAACUUUGUUGCUUUCCAUACAUGCCGUUCUUGACCAAAACAAUAUCAAAUCAAUAAUUUUGUUUUUAUGUCACAUCUUUAUCACUCUCCAAAACUCGUGUUUCUACCAACUCUGCACAAAAAUUAUAUAAAUUGGAGGUAACGUGCAACACUGUAACAUGUAUGGCAUAGGAAAACCCAAAAAAAUUUAAUUAAAAAAUAAUAAAUAUAGAAAAAGAUAAAGCUGAUAUUCUUUUCUGGCCUGGUCAAAGAGGAACUUGAAUACUAAUCUAAUUUUGAUUUUCAGAAAACACACAAGAAACAAUAAGAUGGUUUUCUGAGCUCCCCAAAAAAAAAUUGAAAAGAAAAAAUUGAUGGGUUGACAGCAUAUGUAUAUAUGCGUGUGUGUCCAUAUUGAAAAGACAAUAACAUAACAGGUUAAGAGGACAAGCUCUAAGUUCAUACCACAUGGUAUGCUUGUUGGCUCUACACUCUCUGAAUUGUCAAGCAAGUAAGAAAAUGACAUACAUAAACAACAGCCCCAUUCAUUUCUUUUUUUAUUAUAGUUUUGUGACAGUGGGCCUAAGAAAGCUGACCUAAAUUGGAGGAUCUUAGUAUCUAUCUACUCACUCUCUCUCUCUUUCAAUUUAGUCUUUGAAUGUUUGAUUAGGGAUUGGUCCCCAGUAGUGUAAAAAUGUAAAGAAAUGGAAAGGUGUGUCAUAAAGAAGGCAAGUCCACUUUGCAGAUAUAUCCAUAUUCCAUGCACAGAGGUGGGGGUGGAAUUUGAUGGUGAUGGAGUGGACAAAGCCUGGCAUGAAAUACGGAUCUACAUCAAAAGUUGUGGGCCAAGCAAGUCUGAAUUUAAGGUGGGGCCCUGAGGGGACACAAUCCAGCUACCAGCUAUGUUCAUCACCUUAAAAUUUUGAUGUUGUUGCCUCCCUUUGCUCUCUCUCAACAGCACAUUUUCACUUUAUAACAUUGCACCCACUCAUAUGACAACAUGUGAGUGAGAGAGAGAGAGAGAGGGUUUAUGAUAGUCUUCCAAAUAGCACAUCCUUUAAGUGGGAAUUUUGAGGAGUGCCAUUGGUUUUGCUUUAGGAAGAUGGAUUUGGUAGGAUAUAGAGAGAUGGUGGAGUAGAAGUAAAGGUAGGGCAUAAUAUCUAGGGGUUGGAUUAUUAAUUCCAUGUUUGAAUUGAAUCAAAACCCAAUAAAGCUGAAGUAUCCAGGAAGGUAAAAACAACAUAUGAAUAAAAGGGGAACCUUUUGCUAGCCAUUCUUUUUUCAUUGAGUUAGAAAGAUGCCCUUGGAAGCACAUAAUCUUAUCCCACCGACAGAAAUCGCAUAUGCUAAAGUCUACAAGGCCACAACCUCUCUUUCAUCCCAUGAUCCCAUUUAUGCGUUUUCCAAGAUUGCAACAUCAAACCUAAUUAGUGCAGCAGAUCAAUCAUCUCACUUCCUUUUCCCUUUUCUUUUAAACCCUUAAACUUCAAAUUCUUAAUUGCCAAGAUAAACCCAAAAGAUGGCCAAAUGAACUUUAAUGGGUUCUUGAGUUGGAGAGAAAGGGAGAGGUAUUGAAUUCUUCAAGAUAUGGUCCAAAGUAGAGGGAAUGGUGGGGUUUUCUUGUUUUCGCUUAUAUUGAAGGGGUUGGAGUUAGGAGUUGUGUUAAAGUUCAAAUCUUGAUGUAAUUAGGUUGGAGUUAGGAGUUGUGUGAAAGUUCAAAUCUUGAUGUAAUUAAGUAAACUUUUUUUAUUUAAUCAAAUUGAUAGGAACAGAUACUUAUAAUUUAGGGCUCAACCAGCUACUACAUUUGAAGUUGAAUUUAAAUCAUCUUCUUAACGCAUUAGGAAUAAUGGUGACAACAUAUGGGAACUUGUAAAAGGUUGUCCAUAUGGGAUGGCUAUUUUUAAAAAAAAACACACACACACAUAUGUAGAGAGAGAGAGAGAGAGAGAGAGAGAGAGACAAAAACAAAAAAACAAGAGGAAAAUUGAUGUACUACUCCAUUCUAGAUGAGCUUCCAACUUUUCCUCCCUUUGAAAGAUUCAAGUGUAGCGUUGAAGAGAACGGUGAUGGCAUGGAAAGUGACCUAAAUCUAAGAUUAUGGCAGGAUUAGCAACCCAUAUCACACAUCAACAAGCUAUGAAUAAAACUUUUGAGCAAAAGAAAAUAAUAAAAAUUAAGUGAGACUUUAGGCACAACUACCAUGAGCAUUUUAAAAAAAUGGGGUUGAAAAGAGUAAAUGUCGCCCAUCAAACUUUAUUGGUCAUCCCAACAUUGCAUGUCGUAGCUAUAAAGGAAUCAAAUGCUGGACCAGAGCAUGGUCUCCAAGUCCUGUUAUUGAAUCCAAAGCCAAGAAUCUUAGUCAAGUCAUACCAGAAUCUUCCAAAAGUUAAAAGUAAUUUAAAUGCAAUUUUCUUGGCAUGUGAACAAAUUCAUAGGUGGAUGUGGUGCAAUUUUCUAAAUGGGAUCUAACUUUUCAUCAGGCUGAGGCAGGUAGACCAUACUAUAUAAAUCAUGAUAAUGAAGUCGGUCGAACCACAUUUGGUCCAAAGUUCAUUAAGGAAAAAAAAUAAGCCAUGCUCAUGGAUGGUAUAGGAGAUCUAAUAGCUGUUUGAAAAUGACGUGUAACAACUAUAGUAGAAGCCCCAAAUAGAACAAGUCUUUAAGCCAAAAUGGUACACAUCAAUCCCUCCUUACUAUGUAAGUAGGAGCUCUUACAAUCUUACUAAUAGCAGUGAGACAUGUGUGCAGAAGUUUUUUUUAUAAAUUAUUUUUGCAUAUGUGUCAAACUGUGAUCGCAAGAAGGAGGAGUAUCUCCUUACAGGAAAGAAGGCAAGCAGUAUCCUAAAUAAAAUGAGAGAAGAAAAAUGAAAUUGGAGUUAUCGGCUAUAAAGUUGUAGUUUGGUUGGGUUGGCAACAAAGCUAGCCCAAAGCAUAUGGUCCCAAAUUAAUUUUUCAUUGCACUUUAGUUAGCCCAAAGCCCAAUCCACUCUUUUGAUCAAGUUGUAGAUCCAAUUUUAGCUACCUUAAAGCAACUUCAACUUCAACUUCAAGUCUAGCCCAAGUCCAACCCAGCAACCUCAUCUUCUAAUUGUAAUUCCCUUUGCUUGGGCCAGAAAUAGUAUCCUUACGACUGGCUCAGAAUUCCUUGUGAAAGUGCAUGUUCCAUGAAUAUAUAGUUAUAUACUUUGUUGUUAUGAAUCUUUAAACUCCAUUGGGAACAAUCUCUUUUGCCAGAAACCUUGUCUCCAUUGGCUAUUAUCACAUCAAAUAAACCUGCUUGUCCAUCUAACUUGUAAUUCGAUCUCCUGGGGAAGAAGAGGCAUUGAAAUUGUGAAAACUCCUAGAAUCUAAUAAUACAAUUGGACAGUUUCUCUUUGUACUACUCUCAUAUGGUUUUGGCAUGGUUCAUUAUUGGACAACAUUCCAUGUUUCUUGUUUUUUUUUUUUUAAAAUAUUCGAUAGAAGAAAAUUAAUUAGGAGAAGAUUGCAAUAAAUAAAUUUUACGUAUGUCUUGCGCAAAUUACUCACGCUAAUCAUUAAUAUAUUAAUGUUCAUGUGACCAUAUUUUAGUAUCAUAUUAUAAUUUCUCCGUCUUUUCUGAUACCACAUGCUUCUCACGUUAAUUAUUAAUACAAUAAUGUUCUUGUGACCGUAUUUUACUACUACAUUAUAAUUUUUCUGUCUUUUCCCAUGGCAUUGGAUAGGAGGUUGAAAAAAUCCAUUUUCUCAUAAUUAAUUCAAAAUAUCUAAGAGUGGCCAAUAAUAAAAGGGCCAAAGUUGUCGCACAGUUAGAGUUUCGAACCCUAAACCGUCUGCAAGCAGAAAACCCUCUCUUCUCCAAUCCACCAUCGCCACUACCACCAGUCAGUCACCAUCAUGUCCCAAAAAUCAAAAUCAAAACGAAAAACACCAAGACAACAAGGACCCCCAACGACAAGCCCAAACCCAACCCCAUCGGAGUUCUCAUUCGCCAUAGCCAGAAUCGCAGCGUCUCAAAUCAGUCAAUCAGUCGGCUUCAAAGCCACGAAGCCUGCCGCCGUCGAAACCCUAGCCCACAUCGCCAUCAAGUACAUCGAGGCCAUAGCUUCCGCCUCAGCCUCCUACGCCGCCAUGGCCAAUCGCACCAACACUAACGUUUUCGACUUCACCAACGCCCUCCAUGACUUGCAGUCGGUGCAAGGCUUCAAAGGCGCCUCCUUUCUCCACGAAAACGGCUUCUGCGUUUUGGGUUCGAGCGUUUUGACCGAUCUCGCCAAAUUCGUCAGCUGGAACGAGGAAACCCCAUUCGCCAGGCCGAUUCCGCGGGCCGAGAAAUUGGAUACAGAGAAACGGAUUCCGUUUCCGGUGGAAACGGAUUCCGGGAGGGAUUUGCACGUGCCGAGAUGGCUUCCAGCAUUCCCGGAUGUAAAGAAAACGGUCGCGAAGAGGAGGAAUGGUGAGGAGUUGUGGGAGAAUAUGGUGGCUGGGAAUGGCGGUGGUGGUGUUAUGAAUGAAAGUGAAAGUGAAAGAGUAAGUGAGAGUGGGAAUUGGAAUGGGAAUGGUGGGAAUGAGAAAGGGUUUUGCUUGGAAUUGGGGGAGGAGAAGAAGAUGGGGAGAGUGAGGUUUAGGAUUGGAUUGGGGGUUGAGGUGGAGGAGAAAGGGGUGGCGGGUUUGGGUUUGAAUUUGAGAAGUGGGGUUUGUAGAGGAGGGAAAAGAGUAUGUUGGAAUAAUAACAGUAAAAUUGGUUACAAUUUUGAUGAUGAUGAUAAAAGAUAGUUUCAAUUUUGAUAAACUUUGUAAUUGAUACAAAAAUAUUGAAUUGUUUUGGAAAAUUUUCAGAGUUGUUGUGUUUACUAUUUUUUCAUCAUGUAUUUAAUAACCAGAUUUGGUUCUUUUUGAAGGGCAUCCCAGGAUUCGAACUUCUCACCUUUAUGAGAUCAACAACUGCACUGUUAACCAUCGGAGCUAGUGUUUUUGUUUCUUUAUUGAACUCAGAUUUUACUCAUUUAAACGUUAAUAUUGCGAAUGUUGUAUACUGUCAAUAAUAUUUCAACAAGCAUGGACGUAUAAUGGAAUUCACCUUUGCAAUAUAAUUCAGAAACACAUUACUAUCUGCCACAGGAACUUUGCAAAAAAGCAUUUAGUUCAUGAGCAAUGCACUUCAAGAUGCGAGGCAAUAAGCUUUAAAGCAAUAAGCAAUUUGAAUUUCUUUUUCUUAGCAAAACAUUCUUAUGACUAGGUAGUAACAUCAUAUAGGGAGUUCCAUUCAUUCACACAAAAAAUACGUCUUCGCCUUUUGACACAUAUUUGUAACCAGACUUGCAACAGACACUUGAUCUUUC